CUUCAGGGGCUCGUAUGUGUCGGAGCCCUUCUCCUUGACGUCCACUGCCACAAUGUCACCGUCGCCGUCGACGUACUUGACCAGCAGUGCCAGGUAGUUGGGGCCGCACCCCUUUUCAAGGUGGAAGGUGACCUUGGAGUCGUACUUGCACUUAACCCUUCGGAACUGCAUGUCGAUGAUGCCCGCCUUGCGUAGCUUCUCCUCCUCGCCCUUCUUGGCCAUGGCGCCGAACGCCGUGCCUGCUAAAUCGAAGUGGUACGCCGCGAUAGGCUCAUAGUUCAUGUCCGUGAUGUGCACCACCACGGGCUUGCCGGAGCACUCCACAGGCUUAUCGCACUUGAUCUCGAAGCAGGACCCACAACCCAGACCAUCCUUGAAGAUGGGGAUGUUGCCGCAUGCGCCCAUGCUAUUGAAGGGGGGCUUGUUCACGUCCUUGUACCCGCAGCCGCCACCGUUGUCGUCGGGACCGGCACCCGUCGGCUUGCCAUACCAUGUCGCUUUAGCGUCCAACCAGUCCUUGCCAUAGGUGGCCGUGAUGUUCUUGCCUGGGGGGACUUUGGGAGGACCGCACCAUGCGCCGCUCACCAAGAACACCAACGCCACAGCCAUCGCAACAUGUGCCCGCAUCGACGACCACAUGGUUCUCACAUUCACAGCCAUGUUUUGUCUUGGAUUAGUGAAUGGUACUAUGCUACGAUGAAUGAGAGGGUAGGCCUGAAUUUAUGGUUGUGUGUGCCAACGGUUGGACGAUCGAGCUUGCAACCGUGAAGCGCGCGCAUGCAUGCACCAACGAGGAGGUAGAGUUUGCAUGGUCGAGCGAGCUUUUCUCUUGGCCACCAGUUUACUAAUUGGUUCCGUAAGUCGAAGGCGACCAUGCAUGGUAGCUCUGCAUGCAAAGCUGCUCGUAUCGUCGCGAUACUUAUGCCAUGGUGCUACUUUGGCUAAUGGUGAAGCGAGGACUCUCCUUCUUCUCGCUUUGAAAGGGAAAUAACCUCAACAUUUCCUAUAAUCGAUUUUGGUGUUUGACGUCCAUCACAAAACCAUAUGGACUAAUUAGUUUGCCUAGUGGACAUUUUUCCCACGUGCAUAAAGUUCACAUAAACAUACAAAGAAAAGGACUUGAGUGAAUUCUACAAAGUUUGGAGCAUACAAGUUCUUGUGCUACCAGUAGCGCACCGGACACUGUCCGGUGUGCAUCGGACACUGUCUGGUACCCUGGCUGAGCACCUCGCGAACUGGUCGCUCUCGGGUUUUCUCAGCGUUAGUCCGCUAAAAUUCAUCGAACUGUCCGAUGCACCACCAGACUAUCCGGUGAGACAACGGAGCAACGAUCAACUUCGCUGACUACAGGGCAGUCUGCAGCGCAGAAGUCAGAAGUCAGUCUGCAAAGUCAGAACACACCAGACUGUUCGGUGUGCCACCAGACUAUCCAGUGCCACAAGAAGACAGUAAACUUCAACGGUCAAUAGCUCCAAACCCCAAUGGUCAACAGCUCCAAACCCCAACGGUCGACUCACGUGGCACUCACCGGAUAGUAAACAAUGCAGUGUUCCGUGCACCACCGGACUGUCCGGUGUGCCCAUCUACAGCAACGGCUGGAAUAGUGGUUAGGGCUAUAAAUACCCCCGACCACCACCAUUCAAGCCACCCAAGCAUUGCAACUUCCUCAUUCAAUACUAGAGCAAAAGAAUACACUCCAAACACACAAUCAAACCAUCAACCCCUCUCCAAGCUUCAAAAUCAAGUCAAGUGAUCAAAAGUGCUUAGUGACUUGAGAGAGGGUGAUUUGUGUUUGUUUUGUUGCUCUUGUUGCUUGGUUGCAUUCUUCUUCUCAUUCUAAACUUCUCAAGUGUUUUGUAAAGCAAGCGAGAGACACCUAAUUGUGUGGUGAUCCUUGCGGGGUCUUAGUGACACGUGUGAUUAAGAAGAUGCACUUAACCGGUCUAAGUGACCGAUUGAGAGAGGAAAAGGGUUGGAAUAGACCCAGCCUUUGUGGCCUCCUCAAUGGGGAGUAGGUUCCUUGGAACCGAACCUCGAGAAACAAAUCACCGUGUUCACUUGAGUUGAUCUUUAUCACUCGAUUUGUUUCUUCCCUCUCCUCUCUUCCUAAAAGUUCCCUUGCUCACAUUGAUUUGAGUUUGAUACCAAAGUUAUCCGCAUUGAUUGAGCAACUCAAAGCAAGGAGAACUAUCUCCCGCUCUUCGAAUUUAAUAUUAUUUAUCUCUAACCCUAACCCCGUGUGAAGUGCGUGUUCAAAGUUUAUAAUUUUCAAGUUUCGCCUAUUCACCCUCUCUAGGCGACUUUCAUGCUUCCUAUGGAAGAAUGUCAUUGUUGCCACAUAUUUUUAAGUCAUUAUAUUGGAGCAAAGUGGCGUAACCAUGUCAACCUCUAUUAUUCGUGGAAACGAUCCUUCAGGGAUUGUCGCAAGUUAAUUGGUAUAUCAAAUGUGCGAAUGUAGGAUUUAAACAUAGCGUAAUCUUCAAGACUCCACAUCUAAAUGAACAACUAGAAAGAUGACUUGUCUAGACAAUUAUAGGGAAUUGAACCAUAAACAUUCGAGGUACUCCAAUUAUACAAAAAUGUAAUUAUGAGAUUCGUGUUGGACAAACGAGGUCAAAUUUAACCAAAUUUAUAUUCAGUAUUCUUAAUAUUUAUAUCAAAUAUAUUAUACUAGAACUUUUAAUACAUAGUGAAAUGAACUGCGAGCUUUCCAAAGAACCCCAACAUUCUUCUUUGCUAAAAAAGACUAUUUUGUAUGCGCAUGCAUAGGCAACUAAUUCUUCUAACUAGUUGUUAUAACAUUUUCUUUUAUAUAUACUAGUCAGUUGUCAGUAUGUUACUAUGGUUUUCAUAUUCACAAUAUUAAUAAUAUACAUUCUUUCUAGAACAUGAAUAAAUAUGUGUUUCAGUGGUUAGACGCUAAGCAUAGGAGGAAUGGUUCUAACCCUAGGUUCUACAUUUUUUGGAUUUUCUCAUGGGAGAACUUAACGCAUAAAGGGCGACAUCUUAAUUAAUGUUGGAAAUUGUACAAGUAAUGCAUGCAAACGGUGAAGACAGAAGUUUUAUCUCAUGAGUAGAAAGCUCAUGUUAUGUAACACAAAUGAACACCUUAGCGUCGACCUUCAAAGAACGACCAACACACGUUAAGGAUGGCCCUACAUCUAGAAUCAGCAUGUACUAUCAUAUAUUUCAAUUAGUCAUAAAAAAUAUGUAUUCUAUUAAAAUGUAGCCAUGCAUGAUAAAGUUAGGAUUACGUAGGAGAUACAUGGACAACACAACAUUCAUGGAUCCUUUUAUAAAAAAUGAAGGCCUAUCAAAUAUUUCAUUAGGCACUUAUUAUAUAACGUGUCAAUCCAUUUCUUAACUCUGAUCUUUUAAACAACAGCGAAGUCUCACUCUAGCUAUAUAUGGAGAUGAAGAAGAUGGAGAAGGAGGAUGACACCAUCAUUGUUGGCGCCAGCAUCACUGUCAUAAUAGGGUAGUGGUAGCAAAUAGAUAUCACGGUCCAAUGCAUGCAUGUGUAAUGCAUUGCUUGGGAUCCAACCCAAUCUAGUAUAGCUAGCAUAGGUCAGCUUAAAGUAUUGUCAGCACUAAAGUUAAUUAUUUGGCGGUGUAGGCGGUGUUGGCCUUCCAGUUGGCAGGGAUGACAUCGUCGUAGACGGACUUGGUGCCUCCCUCGGUAGUGAGGCGGACGGUGAGGGGUCCCUUAAGCGGUUUGUCGCUGUCCUUCCUCCAGAUGGCGCCCCAGGAGUGCUUCAGGGGCUCGUACGUGUCGGAGCCCUUCUCCUUGACGUCCACUGCCACAAUGUCACCGUCGCCGUCGACGUACUUGACCAACAGUGCCAGGUAGUUGGGGCCGCACCCCUUUUCAAGGUGGAAGGUGACCUUGGAGUCGUACUUGCACUUAACCCUUCGGAACUGCAUGUCGAUGAUGCCCGCCUUGCGCAGCUUCUCCUCCUCGCCCUUCUUGGCCAUGGCGCCGAACGCCGUGCCUGCUAAAUCGAAGUGGUACGCCGCGAUAGGCUCAUAGUUCAUGUCCGUUAUGUGCACCACCACGGGCUUGCCGGAGCACUCCACAGGCUUAUCGCACUUGAUCUCGAAGCAGGACCCACAACCCAGACCAUCCUUGAAGAUGGGGAUGUUGCCGCAUGCGCCCAUGCUAUUGAAGGGGGGCUUGUUCACGUCCUUGUACCCGCAGCCGCCACCGUUGUCAUCGGGACCGGCACCCGUCGGCUUGCCAUACCAUGUCGCUUUAGCGUCCAGCCAGUCCUUGCCAUAGGUGGCCGUGAUGUUCUUGCCUGGGGGGACUUUGGGAGGACCGCACCAUGCGCCGCUCACCAAGAACACCAACGCCACAACCAUCGCAACCUGUGCCCGCAUCGACGACCACAUGGUUCUCACAUUCACAGCCAUGUUUUGUCUUGGAUUAGUGAAUGGUACUAUGCUACAAUGAAUGAGAGGGUAGGCCUGAAUUUAUGGUUGUGUGUGCCAACGGUUGGACGAUCGAGCUUGCAACCGUGAAGCGCGCGCAUGCAUGCACCAACGAGGAGGUAGAGUUUGCAUGGUCGAGCGAGCUUUUCUCUUGGCCACCAGUUUACUAAUUGGUUCCGUAAGUCGAAGGCGACCAUGCAUGGUAGCUCUGCAUGCAAAGCUGCUCGUAUCGUCGCGAUACUUAUGCCAUGGUGCUACUUUGGCUAAUGGUGAAGCGAGGACUCUCCUUCUUCUCGCUUUGAAAGGGAAAUAACCUCAACAUUUCCUAUAAUUGAUUUUGGUGUUUGACGUCCAUCACAAAACCAUAUGGACUAAUUAGUUUGCCUAGUGGACAUUUUUCCCACGUGCAUAAAGUUCACAUAAACAUACAAAGAAAAGGACUUGAGUGAAUUCUACAAAGUUUGGAGCAUACAAGUUCUUGUGCUACCAGUAGCGCACCGGACACUGUCCGGUGUGCAUCGGACACUGUCUGUUACCCUAGCUGAGCACCUCGCGAACUGGUCGCUCUCGGGUUUUCUCAGCGUUAGUCCGCUAAAAUUCAUCGAACUGUCCGAUGCACCACCAGACUAUCCGGUGAGACAACGGAGCAACGAUCAACUUCGCUGACUACAGGGCAGUCUGCAGCGCAGAAGUCAGAAGUCAGUCUGCAAAGUCAGAACACACCAGACUGUUCGGUGUGCCACCAGACUAUCCAGUGCCACAAGAAGACAGUAAACUUCAACGGUCAAUAGCUCCAAACCCCAAUGGUCAACAGCUCCAAACCCCAACGGUCGACUCACGUGGCACUCACCGGAUAGUAAACAAUGCAGUGUUCCGUGCACCACCGGACUGUCCGGUGUGCCCAUCUACAGCAACGACUGGAAUAGUGGUUAGGGCUAUAAAUACCCCCGACCACCACCAUUCAAGCCACCCAAGCAUUGCAACUUCCUCAUUCAAUACUAGAGCAAAAGAAUACACUCCAAACACACAAUCAAAGCAUCAACCCCUCUCCAAGCUUCAAAAUCAAGUCAAGUGAUCAAAAGUGCUUAGUGACUUGAGAGAGGGUGAUUUGUGUUUGUUUUGUUGCUCUUGUUGCUUGGUUGCAUUCUUCUUCUCAUUCUAAACUUCUCAAGUGUUUUGUAAAGCAAGCGAGAGACACCUAAUUGUGUGGUGAUCCUUGCGGGGUCUUAGUGACACGUGUGAUUAAGAAGAUGCACUUAACCGGUCUAAGUGACCGAUUGAGAGAGGAAAAGGGUUGGAAUAGACCCAGCCUUUGUGGCCUCCUCAAUGGGGAGUAGGUUUCUUGGAACCGAACCUCGAGAAACAAAUCACCGUGUUCACUUGUGUUGAUCUUUAUCACUCGAUUUGUUUCUUCCCUCUCCUCUCUUCCUAAAAGUUCCCUUGCUCACAUUGAUUUGCGUUUGAUACCAAAGUUAUCCGCAUUGAUUGAGCAACUCAAAGCAAGGAGAACUAUCUCCCGCUCUUCGAAUUUAAUAUUAUUUAUCUCUAACCCUAACCCCGUGUGAAGUGCGUGUUCAAAGUUUAUAAUUUUCAAGUUUCGCCUAUUCACCCUCUCUAGGCGAUUUUCAUGCUUCCUAUGGAAGAAUGUCAUUGUUGCCACAUAUUUUUAAGUCAUUAUAUUGGAGCAAAGUGGCGUAACCAUGUCAACCUCUAUUAUUCGUGGAAACGAUCCUUCAGGGAUUGUCGCAAGUUAAUUGGUAUAUCAAAUGUGCGAAUGUAGGAUUUAAACAUAGCGUAAUCUUCAAGACUCCACAUCUAAAUGAACAACUAGAAAGAUGACUUGUCUAGACAAUUAUAGGGAAUUGAACCAUAAACAUUCGAGGUACUCCAAUUAUACAAAAAAUGUAAUUAUGAGAUUCGUGUUGGACAAACUAGGUCAAAUUUAACCAAAUUUAUAUUCAGUAUUCUUAAUAUUUAUAUCAAAUAUAUUAUACUAGAACUUUUAAUACAUAGUGAAAUGAACUGCGAGCUUUCCAAAGAACCCCAACAUUCUUCUUUGCUAAAAAGACUAUUUUGUAUGCGCAUGCAUAGGCAACUAAUUCUUCUAACUAGUUGUUAUAACAUUUUCUUUUAUAUAUACUAGUCAGUUGUCAGUAUGUUACUAUGUGUCGGCGUUUUGAGACCGGGGGGUCCCUAAGCCGACGAGUGAAUGUCGCUGCGUGCCCCAGCCCAGAUGGGUCGAGCGCGUGGGCGAGCGCGAUGGGGGGAAGCGAGGUGGCCGGAGAUGGGCGUGAGAGAGGUGGAAAUCCCGCGGCCUUCGUGUUCGUCCCGCGCCCAGGUCGGGUGCGCUUGCAGUAGGGGGUUACAAGCGUCCACGCGGGUGAGGGAAGCGAGCGGCCCCAAGAGAGCGCCUGUCCCGUCCUCGUCCCCGCGCGGCCAACCCUCUCUAAGAGGGCCCUGGUCCUUCCUUUUAUAGGCGUAAGGAGAGGAGCCAGGUGUACAAUGGGGGUGUAGCAGAGUGCUACGUGUCUAGCGGGGGAGAGCUAGCGCCCUAAGUACAUGCCGAUGUGGCAGCCGGAGAGAUCUUGGCACCCAGCUGGUGUGAUGUCGUGGCCGUCGGAGGAGCGACGGAGCCUGGCGGAGGGACAACUGUCGGAGCGGUUGAGUCCUUGCUGACGUCCUCCUGCUUCCGUAAGAGAGCUGAGAGCCGCCGUCGUCAUAGAGCAUGCGGGGCGCCAUCAUUGCCUAUCUGGCGGAGCUAGCCAGAUGGGACGCCGGUCUUGUUCUCUGCGGCCCGAGUCAGCUCGGGGUAGGGUGAUGAUGGCGCUUCCUGUUGACGUGGCUGGCCUGCGCCCUAGGUUGGGCGACGUGGAGGCUCCUCCGAAGCCGAGGUCGAGUCUGUCUUCUGUGGCCGAGGCCGAGUCCGAGCCCCUGGGUCGGGCGAGGCGGAGGUUGUUCGGCAGAGGCCAGGGCGGAGUCCGAGCCCUGGGGUCGGGCGGAGCGGAGUUCGUCGUCUUCUGGGGCUGAGCCCGAGUCCGAGCCCUGGGGUCGGGCGGAGCGGAGUUCGUCGUCUUCUGGGGCUGAGCCCGAGUCCGAGCCCUGGGGUCGGGCGGAGCGGAGUUCGCUGUCUUCCGGGACUUAGCCCGAGUCUGAGCCCUGGGGUCGGGCGGAGCGGAGUUCGCCGUCUUCCGGGACUUAGCCCGAGUCCGAGCCCUGGGUCGGGCGGAGCGGAGUUCGCCGUCUUCCGGGACUUAGCCCGAGUCCGAGCCCUGGGUCGGGCGGAGCGGAGUUCACCGUCUUCCGGGACUUAGCCCGAGUCCGAGCCCUGGGGUCGGGCGGAGCUUCCUAUGGUGCCUUUGGCAGGGCCUGACUGCCCGUCAGUCUCACUCUGUCGAGUGGCACUGCAGUUGGAGUGGCGCAGGCGGCGCUGUCCUUCUGCCAGGCCGGUCAGUGGAGCGGCGAAGUGACGGCGGUCACUUCGGCUCUGCCGGGGGGCGUGUGUCAGGAUAAAGGUGUCAGGCCACCUUUGCGUUAAAUGCUCCUGCGAUUCGGUCGGUCGAUGCGGCGAUUUAGUCAGGGUUGCUUCUUAGCGAAGGAAGGGCCUCGGGCGAGCCGGAGAUGUGUCCGCCGUUGGAGGGGGGCCUCGGGCGAGACGGAAAUCCUCUGGGGUCGGCUGCCCUUGUCCGAGGCUAGGCUCGGGCGAGGCAUGAUCGAGUCGCUCGAAUGGACUGAUCCCUGACUUAAUCGCACCCAUCAGGCCUUUGCAGCUUUAUGCUGAUGGGGGUUACCAGCUGAGAAUUAGGCGUCUUGAGGGUACCCCUAAUUAUGGUCCCCGACAGUAGCCCCCGAGCCUCGAAGGGAGUGUUAGCACUCGCUUGGAGGCUUUCGUCGCACUUUUUUGCAAGGGGACCAGCCUUUCUCGGUUGCAUUUUGUUCCGGUGGGUGCGCGCGAGCGCACCCGCCGGGUGUAGCCCCCGAGGCCUCGGAGGAGUGGUUUCACUCCUCCGAGGUCUUAAUGCCUUGCGUAAUGCUUCGGCUGGUCUGGUUGUUCCCUCAUGCGAACUGGCCGUAGCCCGGGUGCACGGUCGGGACCCAAGUUCUCGGGCUGGUAUGUUGACGCUGUCAACGGUUCGGCCGGAGCCGGGUUUGCGAGAGCAGCCCCCGAGCCUCCGCACAGGGCGAGAGGACGAUCAGGGACAGACUCGGCUUUUUUACAUACGCCCCUGCAUCGCCUUUCCGCAAGGAGGAGGGGGGAAAGCGCCAUGUUACCCUCGAUGGGCGCCGAACAUGGUGUCUCCGGUGAGCUGCAAGCGGGUAAUCCGAGUGGACGUCCGUGCCCCGUUCGUUAGGGGUCGGCUAGGGGCCCAGAGGCACGCCCAAAAGUACCUACGGGUGAUCUGCCGGACCCGGUCCCCUGGCGACGGGGUCCGAUGGCUCGAUGCCUCCCUCUGAUGGGAUUCCGUUACAAGAUCGCUCCCGCUGGUCUCGGAAAUGUCCUAGGGUACCUUGGGAGCGCAGCCCGAGCCUUGAUUAUGUAUCGAACGUACCCCUGGUCAUCCCUCGCUCGGCGUCUGAGGCGACUAUGAACCCUUCGGGGGCCAGCCUUCGAACCCCUGAUCAGUAAUGGGUGCGGAGCCCGAGUAGCCUGAGGCGGCCGUGGAACUAACCCUUCGGGGGGCUGGCCUUCGAACCUCUGACCAGUAGUGGGUGUAGGGCCCACGCGAUCUGAGGCGGCUGUUGAACCCCUCGGGGGGCCAGCCUUCGAACCUCUGAUCAGUAGGGGGGCUCGGAGCCCGGUUCCUUCACGGGGAAGGAUCCUUUUCGGGGUAUCCCCCUUUCCCGGUCCCUGUUGCAAGAGAUAGAGAAAGAGGAAAAAAGGAAAAGGAUACGAAAUCGAACGAUGUGGCGUACCUUUUUUGGCGCGGUUAUUACGGCGAAGGCGAAGCGUUGCCCGCUUCUCCUGCCAGAAGCGCCGCCUGUCCCGCCGCGGAGUUAAUGCGACAGGGCGAGUGGUUGGCGGGGCGGUCGUCGCGCGUGCGCGAGCCGUUCGAGGAACGGAUCACGGGCGCGUUGUCUUCACGUCGUGAGAGGGGGUUCUCUUGCUGCCCCUGGAUGGGACGUGAGCUUGGCUGACGACGUGACCGCUGCUCCCGCCCGCCUGCCACCGUCAUUACUGCCGGCCCACUUUCGGCCACAUUGACCGUCGCGCCAGGCUGGCGCUGCUGGGUCGUGCGCUGGGUCGCCUCGAGUCGCGGUAUUGGUUCCGCAACCGAAGAGGCGCGGUGGUGGCGCAAGUGGCGGUGCAGUUGCUUGCAUGCAGCAUCCGGCGCGCCGGUUGCGUGACGCGUGGGCCUGGGCCUCCAGGCUGGGCGCGUUGGGAGUCGCAGAAGCGCGCCCACUUGGCGCGGUUGCAUGCCGCCUGCAUGGCUGCCCGCCUCUCUCGCCCGUUGGUCUGGGCAAAAGUGGAGGGUCACUUGUAACCGCUGGGCGGUUGAGUGCACCGCGCGCGGCGGUUUGGCUUCUUCUGCUCCGAGCCGGUUUGCAUGACAUGCGGGACCCAGCCCCCGCGCCGCAGGGGAGGGCCUUGGAGCGUGUUGGAGAAGACUCAGUCCGUGACGAUUGGGGGCGCAAGUAGGGAGAGUUGCCUUUAAAAGGAGGGCGACCCCUUUCGGAAGGCGAGCAUGUCUUCUCGCUUCCUUAUGCAUCGCGUCUCUCCACCUUCCAAGCCCCCGGAUGGGGGAUAACCGCCGUCUUUUCGCCUCAUCGUUGGAGGAACACAACUCCGUGGGAGUUGGUACCUUUCAGCCAUCGUUCGGCUUCAAGGAUUUUCAUCGGCCAGCCCGGCUAUACCCCCCCGCCGGCGGUCACCCAAGACGGUGACCACCAGUUCCUGGGUGGGGAGAAGCAAGCCGGGCUGCGAUCUUGGUCCCACCCUCAGCUUCAAGGAUGUUCAUCAUCCUCGCUGGGGUGGGGGCCGGGCUGAGCCGGCGCUCUACCUCCCGCGCGGGUUCGUGGGUCACCCUCUCCCGCGGCGUUCGAGGGAGAGGGCGCUCACUGGCCCUGCGGGUGGCCCGGACUUCGACAACGCGGGGCUGGUCGACGGCGGGCGUCGUCACCUCCAGCGUGUCGGGCUCGUCGGCUUGGCUCCCGGCGGCCCCUCCUGCCGGAGGGCGGCUCCCGCGCCGUGUGCACGGGAGGACCACCCAAGAUGCCGCGCGCUGCUAGGGCGGCGUUCGUGUUCUGGGGUGGCCCUGCCUUUGCACCGGGAUGGCACCUUCACGCAGAGGCCGAUGCCCCACUCGUCCGGGAGGAUUUGAGUGGGGAUCUGCCGGAGGGCUGAUGGCCCCUGCCAUCGGUGCCGAGGUGACGGCGGUUCGAGAAGUCCCCGUCGCCGACGGGAUCACCGCCACCAUCCGCGCUUCGGGCCUCCAGCUCUUUGUACUUGUCCUCGCCCCUCGAGCGUCGGCGUGGGCGAGGGCAAGAUUGCAGCAGCGCCCACCCUGAGGCCUGCGCUGCUGCAGUUCGACCACCCGGAGCGGGGGUCGUUGUCGUCGUAGUCAGAGCGGGCGGCAGCGAGCCGCUCGUCAGUCUUCUGUUGCUCCGCAGGCCCUCUCCCAUGGAGUGGGGUUGUUCGUACCUGCGGAGGGGGAACCGGAGUUCCGUUUGUAAUGGCACUUCGAAUGCCAGUGUUUUUGUUCAUUAUGGCUGUCGAGGCCUGAACAUGUAUGUAAUUUUGGCACGGAGCCGUGUUUUUUCCUCAUUCUCGAGCACUAAGACUCGCCUGUUGAUUAUCUGAACCGCUUCACCAAGCAUGAGUCGCCCCGUGUCAAGGUGACGAGUGAGGUAUCCGUAUCCCGGAGGCGUAGGAGUCCCUCGGCUCGGUCGGCCUUGCUGUCUGAGGCUCCUCUAGCUUAGUUAAAGGGACCCCUUGGCCGCUCUUCGACGAGCCGAGGCCAGGGGUAGCGAUAUCAGCGUGAACAGAGGCGGAGUUGGCUCGAAAAUGAAACCUGGUCGGCCGGAGCCUAGCCGGGUUGUCCGUUAGUGGGGCCGACGUCGGAGUUGAUCAGCCGAGGCCUCGGGUCGGGCUGGCGCCCUUGGAAGAUGGUCGGCCGAGGCCUCAGAGGUGACCGGCCGAGCCACCUGCUCGGGCCGGAUUCCCGGAGAAGACCCUGGCGGCGAUGGCCCGGGCGUGGUGAUGACGUCGUCCUUCGGAGUGGAGGUCUUCGGACCGCGUCGCCGUCCGAGGCUAGGUCGAACCUCGCCGAAGUUGUCGUCGAUGCCGAGGGUGCUGCUGCCCCCUUCCAGCGUCAAGACCCGAGCCUGCAGGAUCAGAUAGUCUUGUAGCGUGUGCCUUCUGCGGCCGCCGAGGCCAGAACACACACCCUUGCUGCGUUGUAAAGUUGCGUCUCUUUUCCUCUUGUUUCGAGUAUCUGGACUUUUUUGUCGGUAACAGGGAUGUUUGUGCGAGCGAGAGUUGCUUCUCGCGGAAGGUGAUGAGUGAGGUAUCCGUAUCCCGGAGGCGUGGGAGUCCCUCGGCUCGGUCGACCUUGCCGCUUACGCGUACUUUCACCCGUCCAUGAGGCCCUGUCACCGACUCAGUCGAGAAGGCUCGAAGGAUCGCUUCGGCAGAAGAGCUUCCGAAUGUGAAGACUUGUUCGGUCCGCGGAAUCACUUUAUCCGAAUGCGAGUUACUUAUCGCAGAAGGUGAUGAGUGAGGUAUCCGUAUCCCGGAGGCGUAGGAGUCCCUCGGCUCGGUCAGCCUUGGCUGCUUACGUGUACUCCGUCGUUUUCAGGAUCCACUUUUCGAAGUAGUCAGAAAGCAUGAAAGACAUUCUGGCGGAAGAGAUCUUUUUUCGAGGAAAAUUUCAACGCAGAGGGGGUUCCCCCCCUUUUAGCCCCCGAGGGAGGGUCGGGCUUUGCCGAGGCGAGGCCGACCCUUCCUGGAUGACUAAACUUUGCGUGGGUGCGAGGUAUAUGAACAAUUUGAAAAUAUCUUAAGGGUAGAAGCGACGUAGCUGUUGGAUGUUCCAAGCGUUGCUGUAGACCUCGCCUUGACUGUUGGCCAGCUUGUACGUUCCGGGCUUCAGAACUUUGGCGAUGACGAAUGGCCCCUCCCAGGGGGGCGUGAGCUUGUGCCUCCCUCGGUCGUCUUGCCGCAGCCGAAGCACCAGGUCGCCCACCUGGAGGUCUCGGGGCCGGACCCCUCGGGCGUGGUAGCGUCGCAGGGACUGCUGGUACCGCGCCGAGUGUAGUAAGGCCUUGUCCUGAGCCUCUUCCAGCUGGUCCAGCGAGUCUUCUCGACUAACUUGGUUGCUUUGAUCGCUGUAGGCCCUCGUCCUCGGGGAGCCGUAUUCCAGGUCAGUGGGCAAGACGGCCUCGGCCCCAUAGACCAGGAAGAACGGCGUGAAACCCGUGGCUCGGCUCGGCGUUGUCCUCAGGCUCCAGACCACCGAGGGGAGUUCCUUCAUCCAUCGCUUGCCGAACUUGUCGAGGUCGUUGUAAAUCCGAGGCUUGAGCCCUUGUAGAAUCAUGCCGUUGGCACGCUCUACUUGCCCGUUCAUCAUGGGAUGAGCCACGGCGGCCCAGUCCACCCGGAUGUGGUGAUCUUUGCAGAAGUCCAAGAACUUUCUGCCGGUGAACUGGGUACCGUUGUCGGUGAUGAUGGAGUUCGGGACCCCGAAGCGAUGGAUGAUGUUGGUGAAGAACGUCACCGCCUGCUCGGACCUGAUGCUGUUCAGAGGUCGGACCUCGACCCACUUGGAGAAUUUGUCGAUGGCGACCAGCAGGUGCGUGUAGCCCCGGGCGCCUUCUGCAAGGGGCCGACGAGGUCCAGACCCCACACAGCAAAGAGCCAGGUGAUGGGUAUCGUCUGUAGAGCCUGAGCGGGCAGAUGGGUCUGCUUCGUAUAGAAUUGACACCCUUCGCAGGUGCGGACAAUUCUAGUGGCGUCAGCCACCGCCGUUGGCCAGUAGAAGCCUUGCCGGAAAGCAUUCCCGACAAGGGCUCGAGGCGCUGCGUGAUGGCCGCAAGCCCCCGAGUGUAUCUCUUGCAGGAGUUCCUGACCUUCGGCGAUGGAGAUGCAUCGCUGGAGGAUGCCCGAGGGGCUGCGGUGGUAGAGCUCCUUCUCAUCGCCCAGCAAGACGAACGACUUGGCGCGUCGCGCUACUCGCCGAGCCUCGGCUCGGUCGAGGGGUAGCUCUCCUUGGCGGAGAUAUUGCAGGUACGGGGUCUGCCAAUUCCGAUCAGGCGUGGCCCCGCUCCGCUCCUCCUCGACGUGCAGUGCCUCGCCCUUGGAGGCCGAGGGUACCUCGGGCUGAACCGAGGGUGCCUCGGGCCGUGCCGAGGGUACCUCGGGCUGGACCGAGGGCGCCUCAGGCUCGGGCGAGUCGUCGAUCUUGACGGAGGGUUGAUGCAGAUCCCGGGAGAAGACGUCCGGGGGAACCGUCGUUCGCCCCGAGGCUAUUUUUGCCAGCUCGUCCGCCGUCUCGUUGUAACGCCGAGCGAUGUGGUUAAGCUCGAGCCCGUAGAACUUAUCUUCCAGGCGCCGAACCUCAUCGCAGUAGGCCUCCAUCUUCGGGUCGCGGCAGUGGGAGUUCUUCAUGACUUGGUCGAUGACAAGCCGCGAGUCGCCGCGGGUGUCGAGGCGCCUGACCCCUAGCUCGAUGGCGAUCCGCAACCCGUUGACCAGAGCCUCGUACUCAGCCACAUUGUUGGACGCCGGGAAAUGGAGGCGUAGCACAUAGCGUAGGUGUUUCCCGAGGGGCGAGAUGAAGAGUAGGCCCGCGCCGGCUCCCGUCUUCAUCAGCGAUCCGUUGAAAAACAUGGUCCAGAGCUCCGGUUGGAUCGGAGCCGUCGGUAGCUGGGUGUCGACCCAUUCGGCUACGAAGUCCGCCAAUACCUGGGACUUGAUGGCCUUCCGAGGGGCGAACGAGAUUGUCUCGCCCAUGAUUUCCACCGCCCACUUUGCAAUCCUGCCCGAGGCCUCUCGGCACUGGAUGAUCUCCCCCAGGGGGAAGGAUGACACCACAGUUACCGGAUGAGACUCGAAGUAGUGUCGCAACUUCCGCCUCGUCAGGAUCACUGCAUACAACAGCUUCUGGACUUGUGGGUAGCGGAUCUUGGUCUCGGACAGCACCUCGCUGACGAAGUAAACUGGCCUCUGAACGGGCAAUGCAUGCCCCUCUUCUUGCCUCUCGACCACAAUCACGGCGCUAACCACCUGAGUGGUCGCGGCGACGUAGACCAAGAGGGCUUCUCCGUCAGUUGGAGGCACCAAGAUAGGCGCCUUUGUGAGGAGCGCCUUCAGGUUCCCGAGAGCUUCCUCGGCCUCAGGGGUCCAAGCGAAGCACUCGCCUUCCUUAAGAGGCGGUACAGAGGCAGGCCUCUUUCGCCGAGGCGUGAGAUGAAGCGGCUCAGGGCCGCGAGACAUCCCAUGACCCUCUGUACGCCUUUUAAGUCCUUGAUGGGCCCCAUGCUGGUGAUGGCUGCGAUCUUCUCCGGGUUGGCUUCGAUGCCCCGCUCGGAGACGAUGAACCCCAAGAGCAUGCCCUGGGGCACCCCGAAGACACACUUCUCGGGAUUGAGCUUGACGCCUUUCGCUUUGAGACAUCGGAAUGUCACUUCAAGGUCGGAGAGGAGGUCGGAAGCCUUCCUCGUCUUGACUACGAUGUCAUCGACGUAGGCCUCGACCGUGCGACCGAUGUGUUCGCCGAACACAUGGUUCAUGCACCGCUGAUACGUCGCGCCCGCAUUCCUCAAACCGAACGGCAUGGUGACGUAGCAGUACAUGCCGAAGGGCGUGAUGAAAGAAGUCGCGAGCUGGUCGGACUCUUUCAUCCUGAUUUGGUGAUACCCUGAGUAGGCGUCGAGGAAAGACAGGGUUUCGCACCCAGCAGUGGAAUCCAUGAUUUGAUCGAUGCGAGGCAGAGGGUAGGGAACCUUCGGACAUGCUUUGUUGAGACCAGUGUAGUCUACACACAUCCGCCAUUUCCCCCCUUUCUUUCUCACAAGCACAGGGUUGGCAAGCCAUUCGGGAUGGAAUACCUCUUUGAUGAACCCUGUUUCCAUCAGCUUGUGGAUCUCCUCGCCUAUCACUCUGCGCUUCUCCUCGUCGAAUCGGCGCAGAGGCUGCUUGACGGGUCGGGCUCCGGCCCGAAUAUCCAGCGAGUGCUCGGCGACAUCCCUCGGUAUGCCGGGCAUGUCUGAGGGACUCCGUGCAAAGACGUCGGCGUUUGCGCGGAGAAAGUCGACGAGCACUGCUUCCUAUUUGGGGUCGAGCCCGGAACCGAUCCGGAUCUGCUUGGAGGUGUCGCCACUGGGGUCGAGAGGGACGGCCUUGACCGUCUCCACUGGCUCGAAGUUGCCAGCAUGGCGCUUCACGUCGGGUACCUCUUUUGAGAGGCUUUCCAGGUCGGCGAUGAGGGCCUCGGACUCGGCGAGGGCCUCGGCGUACUCCACGCACUCCACGUCGCAUUCGAACGCAUGUUUGUACGUGGGGCCGACGGUGAUGACCCCGUAGGGGCCCGGCAUCUUGAGCUUCAGGUAGGUGUAGUUGGGGACGGCCAUGAACUUCGCGUAGCUUGGCCUCCCCAGUACCGCGUGGUAGGUUCCUCGGAACCCGACCACCUCGAACGUCAGAGUCUCCCUUCGGAAGUUGGAGGGCGUUCCGAAGCAGACGGGGAGGUCGAGUCGUCCGAGGGGCUGGACGCGCUUCCCGGGAAUGAUCCCGUGGAAGGGCGCAGCGCCUGCUCGGAUGGAGGAUAGAUCGACGCGCAGGAGCCCGAGGGUCUCGGCGUAGAUGAUGUUGAGGCAGCUGCCCCCGUCCACAAGGACCUUGGUGAGCCUGACGUCGCCGACAAUGGGGUCGACGACGAGCGGGUAUUUCCCCGGGCUCGGCACGUGGUCGAGGUGGUCAGCUUGGUCGAAGGUGAUGGGCUUGUCGGACCAGUCUAGGUAGACUGGCGCCGCCACCUUCACCGAGUAGACCUCCCGGCGCUCUUGCUUGCGAUGCCGAGCCGAGGCAUUCGCCGCAUGCCCACCGUAGAUCAUGAAGCAGUCGCGGACCUCAGGGAAUUCUCCUGCUUGGUGAUCUUCCUUCUUGUCGUCGUCGCGGGCCCUGCCACCCUCCGCGGGUGGCCCGGCCCUGUGGAAGUGGCGCCGAAGCAUGACGCACUCCUCAAGGGUGUGCUUGACGGGCCCCUGAUGAUAGGGGCACGGCUCCUUGAGCAUCUUGUCGAAGAGGUUGGCACCUCCGGGGGGCUUCCGAGGGUUCUUGUACUCGGCGGCGGCGACAAGGUCCGCGUCGGCGGCGUCGCGUUUCGCUUGCGACUUCUUCUUGCCUUUCUUCUUGGCGCCGCGCGGAGUAGACGCCUCGGGAGCAUCUUCCGAUGGGUGGCCCUGGGGCUGCUUGUCCUUUCGGAAGAUAGCCUCGACCGCCUCGUGGCCAGAGGCGAACUUGGUGGCGAUGUCCAUCAGCUCGCUCGCCCUGGUGGGGGUCUUACGACCCAACUUACUCACCAGGUCGCGGCAGGUGGUGCCGGCAAGGAACGCGCCGAUGACAUCCGAGUCGGUGAUGUUGGGCAGCUCGGUGCGCUGCUUCGAGAAUCGCCGGAUGUAGUCCCGGAGAGACUCUCCCGGCUGAUGCCGGCAGCUUCGGAGGUCCCAGGAAUUCCCGGGGCGCACGUACGUGCCCUGGAAAAUGCCGGCGAAGGCUUGGACCAGGUCAUCCCAGUUGGAGAUCUGCCCCGGAGGCAGGUGCUCCAACCAGGCGCGAGCGGUGUCGGAGAGGAACAGGGGGAGGUUGCGGAUGAUGAGGUUGUCGUCGUCCGUUCCACCCAGUUGGCAGGCCAGGCGGUAGUCCGCGAGCCACAGUUCCGGUCUCGUUUCCCCCCGAGUACUUUGUGAUAGUAGUCGGGGGUCGGAACCGGGUCGGGAACGGCGCCCGUCGGAUGGCCCGGCUGAAGGCCUGCGGACCGGGUGGUUCGGGCGAGGGACUCCGAUCCUCCCCGCUGUCGUAGCGUCCCCCACGCCUGGGGUGGUAACCUCGGCGCACCCUCUCGUCGAGGUGGGCCCGACGGUCGUGAUGACGGUGCUCGUUGCCGAGGUUACCCGGGGCUGCAGGCGCGGUGUUGCGCGUGCGCCCGGUGUAGACCGAGGCUUCCCGCAUGAAUCGGGAAGUCGCGGCAUGAGGUCCCGAGGGGUAUCCCUGCCUUCGGGAGGCAGAGCUCUCGGCCCGUCGGACCGCAGCACCUUCCAGGAGAUUCUUGAGCUCUCCCUGGAUUCGCCGACCCUCGGUGGUUGAUGGCUCCGGCAUCGCGCGGAGAAGCAUCGCUGCUGCAGCCAGGUUCUGACCGACCCCACUGGAUGCAGGUGGCGGCCUCACCCUGACGUCGUUGGCGACGCGGUGCUGGAGACCCUGGGGCAGGUGACGUAUUUCUCCGGCCGGGGGUUGGCCCGCCCACGCCAGCCCGACGUCCCGGUGGAUCGGCUCAAGCGCUCCUGCUCCCUCGUCGAGCCUGGCCUGCGCCCCGCGGACUUGCUCGAGCUGUGGGUCGUGACCCCCCGCCGGAACGGGGACCACAGCUAGCUCCCGCGGGAUGUCAGCGCGAGGCACCGGCCUAGGGAGAUCACCGUCCUCCGGCAUGCCGAGAUGGUUGCCUUCGGAGGGAUCCCCUAGCUCGACGUGGAAACAUUCGCGGCUUGGGCCGCAGUCCUCGUCGUCGAGGCUGUGGCUACCGUCGGCGUCGGAACAGUCAGAGAGGCAGUAGUCACAUGCGGUCAUGAAGUCCCGCAUGGCACUUGGGUUGCCAAAUCCAGAGAAAUCCCAACAGAUGUUGGGGUCGUCAUCUUCCUCGGACCCAGAGGGCCCAUAGGUCGAGACGUCCGUCAGCCGGUCCCAAGGCGACCGCAUGCGAAACCCCAGAGGGUUUGAUCUCGCCUCUACAAGAGCGCCCGCCAAAGCAAGGUCGCUAGGCGGGUUGAGGCUGAGUCGAAAUGACGUAGGAUGGGAAUCGGUUGGUACCUUUUGGUCGACGAGCGACGACAUAGUCACGUCGGGGACUGAUCGCACCGCCGUCUCAGGUACGAGGGCGACGUCCUGCAAGCUCUCCGCGAGCGCACUGGCGUCGUCCGUUUGCUCGGGAUUGGCGUGUCGCGGGGAGAUGGUGCUCGCCUUCGUCUCAAACGCGAGGUCGACGCCCGGCGCGCCCCCCGUUGGAGCGCUGGGGACGUCGACUCGCUCGACAGCCAACGAGGCGCAGCCUCCCGCUUGGCCUUGGUUGCCCCGCCUCCUCCUCCGUCGGCGGGGGAGAGGACGGUGCGAGCUCGAAUGUUGUUCUUCCACUACGUGGGGAAGACGUCGUCGAUCCCGCCGCCGGCGGGCGGGCUGUCGGCCGCCAUUGUCGUUGUCGCGCGGCAGUGGAAGGAGUAUCAUGUCGUAGCUGCCGUCGAAGGACAUGAACUCAAGACUCCCAAAACGGAGCACCGUUCCGGGUUGGAGAGGUUGCUGGAGCCUGCCCAUCUGGAGCUUGACGAGAAGUUGUUCGUCAACACGCAGCAGGCCCCUACCUGGCACGCCAACUGUCGGCGUUUCGAGACCGAGGGGUCCCUAAGCCGACGAGUGAAUGUCACUGCGUGCCCCAGCCCAGAUGGGUUGAGCGCGUGGGCGAGCGCGAAGGGGGGAAGCGAGGUGGCCGGAGAUGGGCAUGAGAGAGGUGGAAAUCCCGCGGCCUUCGUGUUCGUCCCGCGCCCAGGUCGGGUGCGCUUGCAGUAGGGGGUUACAAGCGUCCACGCGGGUGAGGGAAGCGAGCGACCCCAAGAGAGCGCCUGUCCCGUCCUCGUCCCUGCGCGGCCAACCCUCUCUAAGAGGGCCCUGGUCCUUCCUUUUAUAGGCGUAAGGAGAGGAGCCAGGUGUACAAUGGGGGUGUAGCAGAGUGCUACGUGUCUAGCGGGGGAGAGCUAGCGCCCUAAGUACAUGCCGAUGUGGCAGCCAGAGAGAUCUUGGCACCCAGCUGGUGUGAUGUCAUGGCCGUCGGAGGAGCGACGGAGCCUGGCGGAGGGACAGCUGUCGAAGCGGUUGAGUCCUUGCUGACGUCCUCCUUCUUCCGUAAGAGAGCUGAGAGCCGCCGUCGUCACAGAGCAUGCGGGGCACCAUCAUUGCCUAUCUGGCGGAGCUAGCCAGAUGGGACGCCGGUCUUGUUCUCUGCGGCCCGAGUCAGCUCGGGGUAGGGUGAUGAUGGCGCUUCCUGUUGACGUGGCUGGCCUGCGCCCUAGGUUGGGCGACGUGGAGGCUCCUCCGAAGCCGAGGUCGAGUCUGUCUUCCGUGGCCGAGGCCGAGUCCGAGCCCCUGGGUCGGGCGAGGCGGAGGUCGUUCGACAGAGGCCAGGGCAGAGUCCGAGCCCUGGGGUCGGGCGAAGCGGAGUUCGUCGUCUUCUGGGGCUGAGCCCGAGUCCGAGCCCUGGGGUCGGGCGAAGCGGAGUUCGUCGUCUUCUGGGGCUGAGCCCGAGUCCGAGCCCUGGGGUCGGGCGGAGCGGAGUUCGCCGUCUUCCGGGACUUAGCCCGAGUCCGAGCCCUGGGGUCGGGCGGAGCGGAGUUCGCCGUCUUCCGGGACUUAGCCCGAGUCCGAGCCCUGGGGUCGGGCGGAGCGGAGUUCGCCGUCUUCCGGGACUUAGCCCGAGUCCGAGCCCUGGGUCGGGCGGAGCGGAGUUCGCCGUCUUCCGGGACUUAGCCCGAGUCCGAGCCCUGGGUCGGGCGGAGCGGAGUUCGCCGUCUUCCGGGACUUAGCCCGAGUCCGAGCCCUGGGGUCGGGCGGAGCUUCCUAUGGUGCCUUUGGCAGGGCCUGACUGCCCGUUAGUCUCACUCUGUCGAGUGGCACUGCAGUCGUAGUGGCGCAGGCGGCGCUGUCCUUCUGCCAGGCCGGUCAGUGGAGCGGCGAAGUGACGGCGGUCACUUCGGCUCUGCCGGGGGGCGUGUGUCAGGAUAAAGGUGUCAGGCCACCUUUGCGUUAAAUGCUCCUGCGAUUCGGUCGGUCGGUGCGGCGAUUUAGUCAGGGUUGCUUCUUAGCGAAGGCAGGGCCUCGGGCGAGCCGGAGAUGUGUCCGCCGUUGGAGGGGGGCCUCGGGCGAGACGGAAAUCCUUCGGGGUCGGCUGCCCUUGUCCGAGGCUAGGCUCGGGCGAGGCAUGAUCGAGUCGCUCGAAUGGACUGAUCCCUGACUUAAUCGCACCCAUCAGGCCUUUGCAGCUUUAUGCUGAUGGGAGUUACCAGCUGAGAAUUAGGCGUCUUGAGGGUACCCCUAAUUAUGGUCCCCGACACUAUGGUUUUCAUAUUCACAAUAUUUAUAAUAUACAUUCUUUCUAGAACAUGAAUAAAUAUGUGUUUCAGUGGUUAGACGCUAAGCAUAGGAGGAAUGGUUCUAACCCUAGGUUCUACAUUUUUUGGAUUUUUUCAUGGGAGAACUUAACGCAUAAAGGGCGACAUCUUAAUUAAUGUUGGAAAUUGUACAAGUAAUGCAUGCAAACGGUGAAGACAGAAGUUUUAUCUCAUGAGUAGAAAGCUCAUGUUAUGUAGCACAAAUGAACACCUUAGCGUCGACCUUCAAAGAACGACCAACACACGUUAAGGAUGGCCCUACAUCUAGAAUCAGCAUGUACUAUCAUAUAUUUCAAUUAGUCAUAAAAAAUAUGUAUUCUAUUAAAAUGUAGCCAUGCAUGAUAAAGUUAGGAUUACGUAGGAGAUACAUGGACAACACAACAUUCAUGGAUCCUUUUAUAAAAAAUGAAGGCCUAUCAAAUAUUUCAUUAGGCACUUAUUAUAUAACUUGUCAAUCCAUUUCUUAACUCUUCUCUUUUAAACAACAGCGAAGUCUCACUCUAGCUAUAUAUGGAGAUGAAGAAGAUGGAGAAGGAGGAUGACACCAUCAUUGUUGGCGCCAGCAUCACUGUCGUAAUAGGGUAGUGGUAGCAAAUAGAUAUCACGGUCCAAUGCAUGCAUGUGUAAUGCAUUGCUUGGGAUCCAACCCAAUCUAGUAUAGCUAGCAUAGGUCGGCUUAAAGUAUUGUCAGCACUAAAGUUAAUUAUUUGGCGGUGUAGGCGGUGUUGGCCUUCCAGUUGGCAGGGAUGACAUCGUCGUAGACGGACUUGGUGCCUCCCUCGGUAGUGAGGCGGACGGUGAGGGGUCCCUUAAGCGGUUUGUCGCUGUCCUUCCUCCAGAUGGCGCCCCAGGAGUGCUUCAGAGGCUCGUACGUGUCGGAGCCCUUCUCCUUGACGUCCACUGCCACAAUGUCACCGUCGCCGUCGACGUACUUGACCAGCAGUGCCAGGUAGUUGGGGCCGCACCCCUUUUCAAGGUGGAAGGUGACCUUGGAGUCGUACUUGCACUUAACCCUUCGGAACUGCAUGUCGAUGAUGCCCGCCUUGCGCAGCUUCUCCUCCUCGCCCUUCUUGGCCAUGGCGCCGAACGCCGUGCCUGCUAAAUCGAAGUGGUACGCCGCGAUAGGCUCAUAGUUCAUGUCCGUGAUGUGCACCACCACGGGCUUGCCGGAGCACUCCACAGGCUUAUCGCACUUGAUCUCGAAGCAGGACCCACAACCCAGACCAUCCUUGAAGAUGGGGAUGUUGCCGCAUGCGCCCAUGCUAUUGAAGGGGGGCUUGUUCACGUCCUUGUACCCGCAGCCACCACCGUUGUCGUCGGGACCGGCACCCGUCGGCUUGCCAUACCAUGUCGCUUUAGCGUCCAGCCAGUCCUUGCCAUAGGUGGCCGUGAUGUUCUUGCCUGGGGGGACUUUGGGAGGACCGCACCAUGCGCCGCUCACCAAGAACACCAACACCACAGCCAUCGCAACCUGUGCCCGCAUCGACGACCACAUGGUUCUCACAUUCACAUCCAUGUUUUGUCUUGGGUUAGUGAAUGGUACUAUGCUACGAUGAAUGAGCGGGUAGGCCUGAAUUUAUGGUUGUGUGUGCCAACGGUUGGACGAUCGAGCUUGCAACCGUGAAGCGCGCGCAUGCAUGCACCAACGAGGAGGUAGAGUUUGCAUGGUCGAGCGAGCUUUUCUCUUGGCCACCAGUUUACUAAUUGGUUCCAUAAGUCGAAGGUGACCAUGCAUGGUAGCUCUGCAUGCAAAGCUGCUCGUAUCGUCGCGAUACUUAUGCCAUGGUGCUACUUUGGCUAAUGGUGAAGCGAGGACUCUCCUUCUUCUCACUUUGAAAGGGAAAUAACCUCAACAUUUCCUAUAAUCGAUUUUGGUGUUUGACGUCUAUCACAAAACCAUAUGGACUAAUUAGUUUGCCUAGUGGACAUUUUUCCCACGUGCAUAAAGUUCACAUAAACAUACAAAGAAAAGGACUUGAGUGAAUUCUAUAAAGUUUGGAGCACACAAGUUCUUGUGUUGCCAGUAGCGCACCGGACACUAUCCGGUACCCUGGCUGAGCACCUCGCGAACUGGUCACUCUCGGGUUUUCUCAGCGUUAGUCCGCUAAAAUUCAUCGGACUGUCCGGUGCACCACCGGACUGUCCGGUGCGACAACAGAGAAACGAUCAACUUCGCGCAACGGUCAACUUCGCUGACUACAGGGCAGUCUGCAGCGCAGAAGUCAGAAGUCAGUCUGCAAAGUCAGAACACACCAGACUGUCCGGUGUGCCAUCGGACUGUCCGGUGCCACAAGAAGACAGAAGACUUCAACGGUCAAUGGCUCCAAACCCCAACGGUCAGCUGAUGUGGCACUCACCAGACAGUGAACAGUGCAGUGUCCGUUGCACCACCGGACUGUCCGGUGUGCCCAUCGACAACAACAGUUGGAAUAGUGGCUGGGGCUAUAAAUACCCCGACCACCACCAUUCAAGCCAUCCAAGCAUUGCAACUUCCUCAUUCAAUACUAGAGCAAAAGAAUGCACUCCAAAGACACAAUCAAAGCAUCAAAUCCUCUUCAAGCUUCAAAAUCAAGUCAAGUGAUCAAAAGUGCUUAGUGACUUGAGAGAGGGUGAUUUGUGUUUGUUUUGUUGCUCUUGUUCCUUGGUUGCAUUCUUCUUCUCAUUCUAAACUUCUCAAGUGUUUUGUAAAGCAAGCAGGAGACACCUAAUUGUGUGGUGAUCCUUGCGGGGUCUUAGUGACCCGCGUGAUAAAGAAGAUGCACAUAACCGGUCUAAGUGAAAGUGCAUUCAUCCCUUUUGUGAGUUUUGGUGAUUUGGAUAACAACACAUUUAAAGGUCUAACGAGUUUGCUAAGUGUUGAACAGGAAAUUCAGUAUGAUGAACAUACUUGAAUAGUGUAUAAUGAUCAGUGAACAAAGGUUCAACACAAGGUUAUAUAACCAAUGAGACAAUGCAAAUGGAUAUAAUAUGAUCUCUAUAUUGGUUUGAAUAUAUGGACAAGACCUGAGAAAUCACUACAUACAUAUGACCAGAAUAGAGGACAAAGUGAUUUAGAGGAUUGGUCAAGCCAAAGAGAAUAAGAUAUGAGGAAUCGUGAAUUGGCUUGACCAUAUUACUGUCAGUCCAUAUAUGCUUCUAUGAGAAUCAAACUAGAGCUUGAUUGAUCUUGACAAUUAUAUCUAGAAGACAUUCAAGCAAGGUUCACAAUAUGGAAGAAAUGAUUCUCUCAAUGGAUGCUCAAUUUGAUGUGACUCAAGAAUGGCUUGAUAGGGUGAAGAUAGCAAGGAAAGGGCUUCGAGGAACUAAGCGAAGGUGAAGGUCAAGCGACGGCUUGUAGACCGAGGUACCAUGGCUAAGGUGAAGAAGAGAGUACUUGCACUAAGUCGAUGAACUAAUCAACUAUGAAGAGUUAUAACAUGUUGAUGCAUCAGUAAGGUGACUUGAAGCCAUGAUUUGAACUCAUAUAAGGUGAUAUGGUACAAGUCACUGGGUUUGAUUUGAGUUUGCUUCAAAAGGUGAGACAAAGAUGUUUGUGAUCCUUAUGAAGCAAUGCCAUGGAGAAAUCACACAUGAGACACCAAUGACUCAAGGAGUUUACUUCAUUAUAUUUUAUUUAACUUGAGUAUAGGAAUCGUCGUACUAUAAAGGGGGAUCCAAAAAGAAGGUUGGUGUUUGCCAAAGCUCAAACCUCUCUAUUCAAAAGCUAUUUUUGAAAAGCAAAAAUCUCUUUAACGUUCUAUGGUUGACCGUGGUUAGGGUUGAGAAACCUAGAGUGUUCUUGCUGAAAAGGAGCUGAACUUCUUCAAAUGCAGCUGAGCUUUCCAGCUGAACUUGACUUCAGCUGAGUUGAGCUUCUUCAGCUGCAGCUGAGCUUUUCAGCUGAGCUGAACUUCAGCUGAGUUGAGCUUUCUCAACUUCAGCUGAACUCAACUUCAGCUGUGAACCUCUUUGACCAUACACCAGCUGAACUUGCCUCCGGGCAGUUGAGCUGGGGUUUUCUCUCCUAAACUCACUGGUCAAGACCAGUUGAACUGGUCUUGAGGGGCAGUUCAGCUGGUCUCUGACCCCUCUGACCUCUGACCAACAGUCUGCAAGUCAGACUGGCAAACAGGUCGCCAGAGGUGUCAGGGGCGGUUCAACCGCCCUGGGGGGCGGUUCAACCGGUCUGGUCAACCCUGACCAGUCUGCAGGUCAGUCUGCGCGUUAGUCUGCCAGUCAGACUGGCAGACAGGCUGCCAGGCCUGCCAGGGGAGGUUCAACCGCCCUAGGGGGAGGUUCAACCGGUCUCAGGCAGAAAAAUCUGCCCAACGGCUAGUUUUGAGCUCCACCUAUAUAUACUACCUCCUACCUCUCUCCCCAAAGCAGUGAGCACGAUUUGAACUCCAUUUCUAACCCAAGAAACACCUCCCUCUCUCUCACACAUCUCUUGCCUCUCCCAUUUCAAAUCUUUGGAGAGAAAUCUUUGAGUGAGCUUGAGAGCUGCGGUUUUGUGCUUCAUCUCUAAAUCUCUCUUGCUCUUCUUCUUCAUUCGAGCUUUGGUACUACAUCGAGUUCUUUGUGGAUUCAUUACUCUUGGAGCUUCUAGCUCCUAGACGACUAGGUGUCUCUUGUGAGUCUCCAAAUCUUGUGGAAGACCACAAGAAAGUUUGUAUUACCCGCUCAUUUGAGCAAAGAUUAUUGUGUGGGCUUGACCUUUGUGGUCGGCAAAGGGAGGAUUAGGGUUGAAAGAGACCCGGCUCUUUGUGGGCGCCUCAACGAGGAAGUAGGGCACCUUUUGUGGUGUGACCGAACCUCGGGAUAAAUCUUGUGUAUCUUGUGUUCUUGCUCAUUGUGUUUGUUCAUGUUCUUCGUUCUCUCACCAUUGCGUGGAAGAUUUGUUUAUAUCUUUUGGGUGUGUGGAUUUUGAGAAGUGCCCUUCUCAGAUCUACUACUUUGAACCCUGUGGAUCAUUUAGAACAUCUCAUUUCCAAAGUUAACUGGGUGAAUUUCGAGAUCAAUUCAGUUUUACCCAGUUUGCUUCUAGUUUUCGUUGAAAAAGUUUUAACUUGCCUAUUCACCCCCCCUCUAGGCAACUUUCAAUUGGUAUCGGAGCAUAAUCCUCGUUCUAACGCUUAACUGCGUGAGGAAAGAUCAUGUCGGGGGGACUAAGAAACGAAAGUGCUUCUAAGCUUGAAAAAGUUGAGGUUGCCUCGACUUCAUCUUUUGGUGCAGAUGUUGAUCCUAGGGCAAUAGACCUUGCCAUGAGAAUCGCCGAAAGGAUGUUCCUCAAAAUGAAGGAAGAUGAGGCGAAGAACAUUAUUGAAGAAGAAGAAAAUGAUCGAUGGAGACCAAACGACGAAUCCACCUCUUCACAAGGUUCGUCUUUCAAAUCCACUUCUCAUAUGUGCUUUAUUGCUAAUGGGAGUGACAGUGAAAGCGAAAGUGAGGAUGAGGAGGAGCAAGAAAGUGAUAGUGAAGAUGAGGAUGAUCUUCAACAAUUCUUCGCUCAGCUAAGCAAGAAACAUCGGAUGAGCUUGCUUAAACUCAUGAAAAGAGCGGAAGAACAAAAAGAAAUGCUUCAUAAGCAAGAAGACUUCCUCAUCAGAAAAAUUGAAGACUUAGAGAAGUUGACCAAAGAGCAUGAGAAGCUAAAGUGCUCUCAUGAUGAUUUGGUCCAAAGGUAUGAAGACAUUUCAAUUGAGCAAAUUAAAGUUGUUAAUCAUUCAUCAUAUAUUGCUCAAUUAGAAAGUAAAAAUGCUAUGCUCAAGAACACAAUAGAAAAGCUAAAUAUUGAAAAUCUAGCUUUGCAAGAAAAACAUGAUAUGCUUGUGUGCUCUCAUAAUAAAUUGAUGGAUUCACAUAUCAUGUUAGAAAUGGCUCAUGAGGUUGUGUUAACUAAUUUGAAAUCAUACCAACCUCACACAUGCACAUGUACUCAAGUAGAAACUAUAUUAUCAUGUGCUAACAAAUGUUGCUCUCAAGAAAGCCAAUCUUCCAUUGAGCUAGAAAUUUCAAGAAUUAGUGAUAUUUCUAUCACACAAGAAAAUAAAGAGCUCAAGGAAGAAAAUGAGAGGCUAAAAAGGAGCUUGACUCAAUUGAAGGGAAAAUGUCAUGCUCAACCUUCUCAAGAUAACUGUGAUAAUAUGGUGAAAAAGCAUGAGAAGGGGACAACUGUGGCAUGCACAAAACCCCUUCAAAAGAAUACCAAGCUUUCCAAGAAGGGCAUGAGCAAAAUCCAUGGUGAGAAAAUUAAUGCUCAUAUGAUUUGCUCUAACAAUGUACCUAUGUGCUUCAACAAAGAAAGAUCAAAGAGAAGCGAUAGGAGGUGCUAUGGAUGCAAGGAGAAGGGCCAUGAAAUUGAUUCAUGCCCCCACAUGAAGAAUCAAGACCUUGCACGAUCAAGAAAGAUGACCAUCAAAAAGGAUGAAAGCAAAAGGCAAAUGCAUUGCAAGGACAAGCAUCGCAUUUGCUACAAUUGCCGUGAAAAAGGUCAUCUAUUCAAGGUUUGUCCAAAGGGUAAAACUCCUAAGCCUAACUUGUCAAUACAUUCAAAUAUGCUUAGGAGACCCAAAUUUGACUCUUGUGCUAGAAAGGUGAUGAGUUCACCACAUUCUAGGACCAAGGCUAUUUGGGUGCCUAAGUCCUUAUUGGCUAACCUUGAUGGACCUAUCAUGAGAUGGGUACCAAAAUGUACUUAAUAAGUUUUGCAGGUACCCAGAGAUGAUAUGAAGCUUUGGGGUGCUUGAGCGGUUCAACUCAAUUCUUAUCUCAAGCUAUCAAUCUUACAUUGUCUAUCCUUUAAGAUUGACCCAAAGAUGAAUUGAGUUGUUAUAUCACUAACUUCAUAUUCAUCUCUAGCAAGAACUUGUGUUGUAGGGAAUAAGGAUUAACCUUUGUGGGAAUCAAGCAAAAGGCCUACAACCAAGUGAUAUCCAAAGGAUGGUAACAAUUAAUUCUUAAGUGCACAUUGCUUUUAAUUGGUAUAUUCCUUUGUGUCUUUUGUAGCCACAUAGGAAAAAUGAAGCACUUGAGAAUGAACUUAAAAGAUUUUACCUUGCUUUGGAAAGGAUCUAAUUAUAUGGUAGAUUGCAAGUUCAUAUUUUUAUAUUGUGACAAUCUACAUGCUUUAAAUUGAUUGUAUGUAUCUUGUGGCAUAUUUCAAGUUAAUCAUCAUAUUAUUGCCAUGACCUAGACAUAAAGAAUAUUAUCCCAUGUUCUUAAAUGAAUAGAGUGCUAAGUAAGAAAUUCAAAUUCUUAUAGCACUUACCAAAUGGGGAAUUCUCUAUAUGACUAGAGUUGUGAGACUAAUGUUUCUAUCUAAGUGUUUAUGUAGUCUCACAACAUGAGAAUGUGUUUCCCAAAUGGAGUGUGCCAUUCAACAUUCAAAGAAGAUCCAACCAAUACUAUGUGAUGUAUUCAUUCUUGUUUAAAUUGGUUUUGAGUCUUCUCCAUUAAUCACUCACCAUGCUAUGAAUUAAACUUGCCAUGUAAACUUAAUUAAAUAAUCAUGCUACUUUCAUCUUUUUUACAAUUGAUGUUAUGCAUGAUGCUUGUAAGGGUAAUUUAGUUCAUAUCAUGAGGUUUCCUUGUUUUAGUAACCUUCUUGUCAUUCAUAUACUAGAGGUUGCUAAAUAGGAAACUAUUGCUUGUGUUUCAAAUGCAAUCUCUAUUAAUAUAUUUCAUGGAAAUUCAUAAGUAGAGAUUGUGCACUUUCAAUUGGUAAAAAUCACAAGCAUUGAAGGUUAAUCUUCACCUAAAAGAAAGGUUAGGAAUGCUCAAGGCAAAGGUAUUGCUUCAAUUGGUAGUUGAUCAAUUGUAGUUCCUUUCAAGUGGCAUUCUUUCAAUUGGUAAUAAUCUAUUCUAUGGAAAGAAAUGCCAAUAUAAAGGUUAAAUUCCUUUUGGCUUAAAUUUGUAAAUUGGUGCAUAUUGUUAAUUCACUCCUCCAUGUGCAUUAACUUAAAAGGAAUUUAAUUUAUGCCUUUAUGCCUCAUAAAUGAUGAUUUGUUUGCCAUUCAUAUAUAUAUAUAUAUAUCAUUCAUUAAAUACUUCCUUGUACUACUAAUACCUCUUUUCAAAGUGUUUUAUCGACUAGUUUUAAAAGGAAAAGAGAUAACAAAGAAGGAAGUCUCCACAAAUGAUGAAAAGAAGAAUACUAAGGAGACACCACCACAGAUAGUAAGAUCUGUCAAAUUGGUAUAACAAAUGGUACAUUCUAUAUGGUGGUAAGUAUUCUUAGGCAUAAGUUAAUUCAUUGUAAAUUUGUCAUGCCUUGACCAUGAUAUGUAAUAUACUCCUCAUGAGACUCUUAACUGAAUUGAAAGUGCAUGUGGCAAGUCAUUCAAAUACUUGAUGCACAUAUCUAGUGGGAGAACAUUAUAUAUCUUGUGUCAUAGAGAAUAAGUUUCACUUGAGUAAGCUAUACUAAGACAAUCCAAAAUGAUAAAUUUGUAUCUCAUUCAUAUGAAUUGUAAUCUUUGUUUUCUAAAUAGCUACUCUUGAUGCAGUUUAAAAUUCCCUUAUCGUUAAUUCUAAAAGUGCAUAAGAAUCCUUUUUGUUGAUAUUCAUCACAUACAUAUGCACUAACAUGGAUAUAAUUUUUAAACUGUAAAAGGUACAAUUAGUGAUCCAUACUCUCUAAAUUUUGGAAACCCAUAUUUUGAUAUCUUAGAAAUCUACUUCAAUCGAUAUCAUAUGCUUCACAUUGAAUUGGAUCACUAAGUUGUAAAUUCAAUACAUAACUUGUCUUUAUGAUAUGAAUGCUUGUGCAACUAACCUUGAUAAGCUAGGUGCACCCAAAGUCAAGGUAGGUUCAUCAUCAAGAAGGCAACACAAUGAUGUAUUAAUAAAAGGAGAAAAGGCUCCUAUUCUUAACUCUAGUUUUUAUCUAUGUAAUUAAAUAUUGACUUGAAACCAUGUAAGAUGGUUGUCAAGUAUAUGUGGGUGCCUACACAAAGAGAAAGGCCACAAUAAGGAUUGUGUGGGUUCUCAAGGCUCAUCUCAAAGGACCCAAUUCAUAUUGGGUACCAAGAUAUGAAGCUUAAACUUGUUUUGCAGGAUCACUCCUUCAAUGAAUCAAGUUGGGUGCUUGAUAAUAAAUGAAUGAAUCAUAUUUGGAGAUAGUAGCAAGGGUGGUAACAACUGAAUCUCAAGUGCAUAUUAUUUUCAAAUUAUCUUUUUUGUGACUUGUGUAGCCACUAAGAAAAAAGAAGCACUUGAGGAUAUACAUCAGUUGUUGAUUAUGAAAUAAAGGUCUAAUUGGAAGUUGAAUGAAUAUUAUCAUAUGGUGAACAAUCCAAAAAUAUGUGACGUAUUCUCUAUCUAGUUAAUUUGGAUUUGAUUCUUCUUUAUUAGACACUCACCAUAAUAUGGAUUAAGUCAGCCUUUUAGACUUCAUUGAAUAACCAUGCAUAUUAUCCAUGUCAUUCAAAAUAUAUUGUGCAUGUGGUUCAAGGCAAAUUUAGUCCAUAUUAUGAGGUUUCUCUAUUUUAGCAACUCGCUUGCCUUCCUCAUAUAAAGGGUUGCUAAAUAAGAAAUUAGUGCUUGUGCUACUAAUGCCAUCUCUUGUGUUGAGUUUAUCCAUAGAAAAUCUAUGUUAAGACAUGGUGCUUGUUUUAAAUUGGAUAAAUCACAAGCUUAAAGGAUACUAUUCAACUAAUGUAAGAAGAAGUUGAUAAGAGGCCAAGGUAUGAAAACUUCCUCACCUUCAGUUGUUUUAGUAUUCUAUCCUCAGUGGGAUGUACCAUAGUAUAGGUUAAAUUCCUUGCAAUAUAAAAUGUUCAAUAGUGCAUAUAACUUUGACAUCAACUAUAUGUGUGCACUAACUUAAAGGAAUUUAGUCUAUCCUUUUUGGGUUUCAAGAAUGAUGAUUCAUUUUCCAUCCACAUAUAAGGAUUAUCAUUUACCCUCCCUUGUGUUUCUAAUGCUCUCUUUUCUAAGUGUUUCAACAAGGCCUUCCCAAGUUCUUUGAAGAUGAAUUCAAAAUCUACAAAUAUAAGAGUCUUGGUUCUUUCAAUCAUUGAGUUUCAAUAGGUCUCAUAUCAAGUAUGAUCGAAUCAAGAAAAGAUGAAAGAAGUUCAAGAUCACUUGGUUGGAUGAAAUCGUAAAGAGAAAAGAGAUCACAGUGAUUCAAGAAGGGAGUUAUUAUUUUUUUGUUUUUUUGUCAACCAAAUAAUGAAGAUGUAGUGACAUAUUUAUAUGAUAUCCUUCAUUAUGAGGUUUGAGAUUUAUAUCAGCAUGCUUUACCCUUCAGGAUUUCAAUUGAUAUACUUUCAGUUCUUAAACUUUCAAUUGGUUCAUUUUCAUCAUCUAUGAAGGCAUGUUAUGUUCAACCAAGAUAUAGUGCAAACAUCUUCUUCAACCUCGUAUUGUUGAUGUGCAUAAAUAUACUUUGUGUACUCUUGCAAGCACAAAUUGAGGGAGAGUUUAGCCUAUAUCUUGUGAGACUAAUGAUUUCUUUCAAGUUCAUGUUGUGUAGUCUCACACCCUGGAGAACAUCAAACGAGGAUGAAUGGUUCCAUAGAAAUGAAAAUGAGUUUCUCUUGAUCGUUUAAAGAGGAUAAGUUUCUCUUUGAAAUGUCAAGCCUAUCAAAAGCUAAGAUAGAAAUUCAUGAUUAUAAUGAAGACCAUGUGGCGUUGAACAAAGGUGUGUCACUCCAUGAACUAUUGUAUUACAUUUGUGUAUCUAGGCUCUCACAUGCCAGUGUGCAUGUAUAUGUAAUAUCUUAAGUCACACCAUAAGGUUGCACUUGUGGUGACGAUUAAAGAAUCUCUAGAUAUUUGAUUAAUACCUCUUGUGGUGAUAUCAUAAGUUAGUCUUAAGUCGUCUUAGUGAGGUAUGAGUCAAACAUUCUAACUUCUCAAGAAUCUUGGCUUAAAAUAUUGCAUAUCAUGUCUAUUAGUAUACCUUUUGAUUAUGAGUAAUUCCUUCAAUUGGUGCAAUUUCAUAUUUUCAUACUUUAUUUAUACCAAGGUUCAAAUUGUAGAACUUAAUCCCCUGGCCUCAUAAGUCCAAGUGCAUAAGCUAAACAAGUAUUCAUCACUUGUAUGCACACAUUUAGGGGGAGAAUGGUUUAUAAUUUGAAUCUUUGAGACUAACUUCAUUUUCAAGUCUAUUAUGUGUGUAGUCUCAAAUUAGAAAGGAACCUUCGGGCAAAGACAAUCGCUUCCACUGCAAAUUUUUGAUGGGUAUCAAAGAUUCUUUGCUCCAAUAAAUGUAACUUCUAUACAUUUCAUAAGAGAAUGAGUUUCUCUUGUAUAUGCUACUCCAACGUCAUCUAAAAUUGGUAAAUAUGUAUCACAUCUUUUUGGAUUACAAAUAUCUGAAGUAGCAUAGCUUAUAGAUUCUCCUGUCUAGAACUUAAUUGAUUAAAUAGUGCACAUGUUCCUUAUGUUGCAUGAUUAUGUUCAGUUGAUACUCCUUUUAUGCUAAUGGUACUUUAAAUUUCAAAUAAGUACUCUCAACAUAUAUCAAUUGAAUUCAUAUAUAUAUAUAUGUGCACUAAAACUUGAGGAGAACUUAGUGUAAUAUGCUAUUAGUGAUCUAUUUAUCUAUCAAAUUGUAUCAAUUGGUGUUUUUCAAUUGAUAUUUUUCAUACAUGAUCACUAGUUGCAUAAUCCAUACUUGUGCAAUUUUUAUGUUGCCUCUUGUUGUGAUAAGAAAAUGCUAGGUGACAUCUAGACUCCAGGUAUCAAGAUUUAUCUUUCAGUUAGUAUGACAAUCUUCAUUUGAUAUCUUGGACCUAUGCCACAAUUAUGCCAACAAGAGCUUGCAAAUGAAUUCUAAGUCCAACACAAGUUUGGAACACCCCCUUAAAAAGGUAAAACGCAAAGGUACAUCACUUAUGACACUUAUCCAUUACCUUUGUGCCAUAUAAGGACCCCUUUCAUGAUAGUGUGUUCAUAUCUCUCUUAAUCAUAAUUUCUAUCCUUUAUAUUCUUUUUAUCCUUUUUUGGGAUUUAUGACAAAGGGGGAGAAAUUGUGCAUUAAAGCUUACCUUUAGUCUUAUGUAACUAAGUGUUAGAAGACUUUUAAAAAGGGGAGAAAUAAUUAACAAAAAGGGAAGUCAUAAGAAAAACAUAAGAUGAAGAAAGUUGAUAAGUGCAUUCCAUGUCAUGAGCAUCACGUUUAUUUUAUGACACACUGCACCCUAUGAAUAGUAUGAUAUAAGUUGUCUAUACUUUGACCUAAAUAUGUGCUUUUGGCAUUUGAGUACAAAAGUGUUAUUUUUCUGAAAUGCACAUAUUUAGGGGGAGGAAACUAUAUCAUAGGAUUUAAAAUCUUAUUUAUCAAAUCUUAUGUAAGCUUUAAAUGUGUUGUCAUCAAUCACCAAAAAGGGGGAGAUUGAAAGUGCAUUCAUCCCUUUUGUGAGUUUUGGUGAUUUGGAUAACAACACAUUUAAAGGUCUAACGAGUUUGCUAAGUGUUGAACAGGAAAUUCAGUAUGAUGAACAUACUUGAAUAGUGUAUAAUGAUCAGUGAACAAAGGUUCAACGCAAGGUUAUAUAACCAAUGAGACAAUGCAAAUGGAUAUAAUAUGAUCUCUAUAUUGGUUUGAAUAUAUGGACAAGACCUGAGAAAUCACUACAUACAUAUGACCAGAAUAGAGGACAAAGUGAUUUAGAGGAUUGGUCAAGCCAAAGAGAAUAAGAUAUGAGGAAUCGUGAAUUGGCUUGACCAUAUUACUGUCAGUCCAUAUAUGCUUCUAUGAGAAUCAAACUAGAGCUUGAUUGAUCUUGACAAUUAUAUCUAGAAGACAUUCAAGCAAGGUUCACAAUAUGGAAGAAAUGAUUCUCUCAAUGGAUGCUCAAUUUGAUGUGACUCAAGAAUGGCUUGAUAGGGUGAAGAUAGCAAGGAAAUGGCUUCGAGGAACUAAGCGAAGGUGAAGGUCAAGCGACGGCUUGUAGACCGAGGUACCAUGGCUAAGGUGAAGAAGAGAGUACUUGCACUAAGUCGAUGAACUAAUCAACUAUGAAGAGUUAUAACAUGUUGAUGCAUCAGUAAGGUGACUUGAAGCCAUGAUUUGAACUCAUAUAAGGUGAUAUGGUACAAGUCACUGGGUUUGAUUUGAGUUUGCUUCAAAAGGUGAGACAAAGAUGUUUGUGAUCCUUAUGAAACAAUGCCAUGGAGAAAUCACACAUGAGACACCAAUGACUCGAGGAGUUUACUUCAUUAUAUUUUAUUUAACUUGAGUAUAGGAAUCGUCGUACUAUAAAGGGGGAUCCAAAAAGAAGGUUGGUGUUUGCCAAAGCUCAAACCUCUCUAUUCAAAAGCUAUUUUUGAAAAGCAAAAAUCUCUUUAACGUUCUAUGGUUGACCGUGGUUAGGGUUGAGAAACCUAGAGUGUUCUUGCUGAAAAGCAGCUGAACUUCUUCAACUGCAGCUGAGCUUUCCAGCUGAACUUGACUUCAGCUGAGUUGAGCUUCUUCAGCUGCAGCUGAGCUUUUCAGCUGAGCUGAACUUCAGCUGAGUUGAGCUUUCUCAACUUCAGCUGAACUCAACUUCAGCUGUGAACCUCUUUGACCAUACACCAGCUGAACUUGCCUCCGGGCAGUUGAGCUGGGGUUUUCUCUCCUAAACUCACUGGUCAAGACCAGUUGAACUGGUCUUGAGGGGCAGUUCAGCUGGUCUCUAACCCCUCUGACCUCUGACCAAUAGUCUGCAAGUCAGACUGGCAAACAGGUCGCCAGAGGUGUCAGGGGCGGUUCAACCGCCCUGGGGGGCGGUUCAACCGGUCUGGUCAACCCUGACCAGUCUGCAGGUCAGUCUGCGCGUUAGUCUGCCAGUCAGACUGGCAGACAGGCUGCCAGGCCUGCCAGGGGAGGUUCAACCGCCCUAGGGGGAGGUUCAACCGGUCUCAGGCAGAAAAAUCUGCCCAACGGCUAGUUUUGAGCUCCACCUAUAUAUACUACCUCCUACCUCUCUCCCCAAAGCAGUGAGCACGAUUUGAACUCCAUUUCUAACCCAAGAAACACCUCCCUCUCUCUCUCUCACACAUCUCUUGCCUCUCCCAUUUCAAAUCUUUGGAGAGAAAUCUUUGAGUGAGCUUGAGAGCUGCGGUUUUGUGCUUCAUCUCUAAAUCUCUCUUGCUCUUCUUCUUCAUUCGAGCUUUGGUACUACAUCGAGUUCUUUGUGGAUUCAUUACUCUUGGAGCUUCUAGCUCCUAGACGACUAGGUGUCUCUUGUGAGUCUCCAAAUCUUGUGGAAGACCACAAGAAACUUUGUAUUACCCGCUCGUUUGAGCAAAGAUUAUUGUGUGGGCUUGACCUUUAUGGUCGGCAAAGGGAGGAUUAGGGUUGAAAGAGACCCGGCUCUUUGUGGGCGCCUCAACGAGGAAGUAGGGCACCUUUUGUGGUGUGACCGAACCUCGGGAUAAAUCUUGUGUAUCUUGUGUUCUUGCUCAUUGCGUUUGUUCAUGUUCUUCGUUCUCUCACCAUUGCGUGGAAGAUUUGUUUAUAUCUUUUUGGUGUGUGGAUUUUGAGAAGUGCCCUUCUCAGAUCUACUACUUUGAACCCUGUGGAUCAUUUAGAACAUCUCAUUUCCAAAGUUAACUGGGUGAAUUUCGAGAUCAAUUCAGUUUUACCCAGUUUGCUUCUAGUUUUCGUUGAAAAAGUUUUAACUUGCCUAUUCACCCCCCCUCUAGGCAACUUUCAAUUGGUAUCGGAGCAUAAUCCUCGUUCUAACGCUUAACUGCGUGAGGAAAGAUCAUGUCGGGGGGACUAAGAAACGAAAGUGCUUCUAAGCUUGAAAAAGUUGAGGUUGCCUCGACUUCAUCUUUUGGUGCAGAUGUUGAUCCUAGGGCAAUAGACCUUGCCAUGAGAAUCGCCGAAAGGAUGUUCCUCAAAAUGAAGGAAGAUGAGGCGAAGAACAUUAUUGAAGAAGAAGAAAAUGAUCGAUGGAGACCAAACGACGAAUCCACCUCUUCACAAGGUUCGUCUUUCAAAUCCACUUCUCAUAUGUGCUUUAUUGCUAAUGGGAGUGACAGUGAAAGCGAAAGUGAGGAUGAGGAGGAGCAACUUUCACUAAGUGACCGAUUGAGAGAGGGAAAGGGUGGGAAUAGACCCAGCCUUUGUGGCCUCCUCAAUGGGGAGUAGGUUCCUUGGAACCGAACCUCGGGAAACAAAUCACCGUAUUCACUUGUGUUGAUCUUUAUCACUCGAUUUGUUUCUUCCCUCUCCUCUCUCUCUCUAAAAGUUCACUUGCUCACAUUGAUCUGAGUUUAAUUUGCUCCCAAACUUAUCUGUAUUGAUUGAGCAACUCAUAGCAAGGAGAACUAUCUUUCGCUCUCCGAAUUCAAUAUUAUUUAUCUCUAACCCUAACCCUGUGCGAAGUGCGUGUUCAAAGUAUAUAAUUUUCAGGUUUCGCCUAUUCACCCCCUCUAGGCGACUUUCAUGCUUCCUAUGGAAGAAUGUCAUUGUUGCCACAUAUUUUUAAGUCAUUAUAUUGGAGCAAAGUGGCGUAACCAUGUCAACCUCUAUUAUCCGUGGAAACGAUCCUUCAAGGAUUGUCGCAAGUUAAUUGGUAUAUCAAAUGUGCGAAUGUAGGAUUUAAACAUAGUGUAAUCUUCAAGACUCCACAUCUAUAUGAAUAGCUAGAAAGAUGACUUGUCUAGGCAAUUAUAGGGAAUUGAACCAUAAACAUUCGGGGUACUCCAAUUAUACAAAAAAUGUAAUUAUGAGAUUCGUGUUGGACAAACAACGUCAAAUUUAACCAAAUUUAUAUUCAGUAUUGUUAAUAUUUAUAUCAAAUAUAUUAUACUAGAACUUAUAAUACAUAGUGAAAUGAACUACGAGCUUUCCAAAGAACCCCAACGUACUUCUUUGCUAAAGAAGACUAUUUUGUACGUGCAUGCAUAGGCAACUAAUUCUUCUAACUAGUUGUUAUAACAUUUUAUUUUAUAUAUUAGUCAGUUGUCAGUAUGUUACUAUGGUUUUCAUAUUCACAAUAUUUAUAAUAUACAUUCUUUCUAGAACAUGAAUAAAAAUGUGUUCAGUGGUUAGACGCUAAGCAUAGGAGGAAUGGUUCUAACCCUAGGUUCUGCAUUUUUUGGAUUUUCUCAUGGGAGAACUUAAUGCAUAAAGGGCGACAUCUUAAUUAAUGUUGGAAAUUGUACAAGUAAUGCAUGCAAAUGGUGAAGACAGAAGUUUUAUCUCAUGAGUAGAAAGCUCAUGUUAUGUAGCACGAAUGAACACCUUAGCUUCGACCUUCAAAGAACGGCCAACACACAUUAAGGAUGGCCCUACAUCUAGAAUUAGCAUGUACUAUCAUAUAUUUCAAUUAGUCAUAAAAAUAUGUAUUCUAUUAAAAUGUAGCAAUGCAUGAUAAAGUUAGGAUUACGUAGGAGAUACAUGGACAACACAACAUUCAUGGAUCCUUUUAUAAAAAUGAAGGCCAAUCAAAUAUUUCAUUAGGCACUUAUUAUAUAACUUGUCAAUCCAUUUCUUAACUCUUCUCUUUUAAACAACAGCAAAGUCUCACUCUAGCUAUAUAUGGAGAUGGAGAAGAUGGAGAAGGAGGAUGACGCCAUUAUUAUUGGCGCCAGCAUCACUGUCGUAAUAGGGUAGUGGUAGCAAAUAGAUAUCACGGUCCAAUGCAUGCAUGUGUAAUGCAUUGCUUGGGAUCCAACCCAAUCUAGUAUAGCUAGCAUAGGCCGGCUUAAAGUAUUGUCAGCACUAAAGUUAAUUAUUUGACGAUGUAGGCGGUGUUGGCCUUCCAGUUGGCAGGGAUGACAUCGUCGUAGACGGUCUUGGUGCCUCCCUCGGUAGUGAGGCGGACGGUGAGGGGUCCCUUAAGCGGUUUGUCACUGUCCUUCCUCCAGAUGGCGCCCUAGGAGUGCUUCAGGGGCUCGUACGUGUCGGAGCCCUUCUCCUUGAUGUCCACCGCCACAAUGUCACCGUCGCCGUCGACGUACUUGACCAGCAGCGCCAGGUAGUUGGGGCCACACCCCUUUUCAAGGUGGAAGGUGACCUUGGAGCCGUACUUGCACUUGACCCUUCGGAACUGCAUGUCGAUGAUGCCCGCCUUGCGCAGCUUCUCCUCCUCACCCUUCUUGGCCAUGGCGCCGAACGUCGUGCCUGCCAAAUCGAAGUGGUACGCCGCGAUAGGCUCAUAGUUCAUAUCCGUGAUGUGCACCACCACGGGCUUGCCGGAGCACUCCACAAGCUUAUCGCACUUGAUCUCGAAGCAGGACCCACAACCCAGACCAUCCUUGAAGAUGGGGAUGUUCCCGCACGCGCCCAUGCUAUUGAAGGGGGGCUUGUUCACGUCCUUGUACCCGCAGCCUCCGCCGUUGUCGUCGGGACCGGCACCCGUCGGCUUGCCAUACCAUGUCGCUUUAGCGUCUAGCCAGUCCUUGCCAUAGGUGGCCGUGAUGUUCUUGCCAGGGGGACUUUGGGAGGACCGCACCAUGCACCGCUCACCAAGAACGCCAACGCCACAGCCAUCGCAACCUGUGCCUGCAUCAACGACCACAUGGUGCUCACAUUCACAACCAUGUUUUAUCUUGGAUCAGUGAAUUGUACUAUGCUACGAUGAAUGAGCGGGUAGACCUGAAUUUAUGGUUGUGCGUGCCAACGGUUGGACGAUCGAGCUUGCAACCGUGAAGCGCGCGCAUGCAUGCAACAACGAGGAGGUAGAGCUUGCAUGGUCGAGCGAGCUAUUCUCUUGGUCGCCAGUUUACUAAUUGGUUCCGUAAGUCGAAGGUGACCAUGCAUGGUAGCUCUGCAUGCAAAGAUGCUCGUAUGGUUGCGAUACUUAUGCCAUGGUGCUACUUUGGCUAAUGGUGAAGCGAGGACUCUCCUUCUUCUCGCUUUGAAAGGGAAAUAGCCUCAACAUUUCCUAUAAUUGAUUUUGGUGUUUGACGUCCAUCACAAAACCAUAUGGACUAAUUAGUUUGCCUAGUGGACAUUUUUCCCACGUGCAUAAAGUUCAUAUAAACAUACAAAGAAAAGGACUUGAGUGAAUUCUACAAAGUUUGGAGCAUAUAAGUUCUUGUGCUGCCAGUAGCGCACCGGACACUGUCCGGUACCCUGGCUGAGCACCUCGCGAACUGGUCGCUCUCGGGUUUUCUCAGCGUUAGUCCGCUAAAAUUCAUCGGACUAUCCGGUGCACCACCGUACUGUCCGGUGAGACAACAGAGCAACGGUCAACUUCGCGCAAUGGUCAACUUCGCUGACUACAGGGCAGUCUAUAGCGCAGAAGUCAGAAGUCUGUCUGCAAAGUCAGAAUACACCAGACUGUCCGGUGUGCCAUCGGACAGUCCGGUGCCACAAGAAGACAGAAGACUUCAACGGUCAACAGCUCCAAACCCCAACGGUCGGCUGACGUGGCACUCACCGGACAGUGAACAGUGCAGUGUCCGUUGCACCACCGGACUGUCCGGUGUGCCCAUCGACAGCAACGACUGGAAUAGUGGUUGGGGCUAUAAAUACCCCCGACCACCACCAUUCAAGCCAUCCAAGCAUUGCAACUUCCUCAUUCAAUAUUAGAGCAAAAGAAUACACUCCAAAGACACAAUCAAAGCAUCAAAUCCUCUUCAAGCUUCAAAAUCAAGUCAAGUGAUCAAAAGUGCUUAGUGACUUGAGAGAGGCUGAUUUGUGUUUGUUUUGUUGCUCUUGUUGCUUGGUUGCAUUCUUCUUCUCAUUCUAAACUUCUCAAGUGUUUUGUAAAGCAAGCGAGAGACACCUAAUUGUGUGGUGAUCCUUGCGGGGUCUUAGUGACCCGCGUGAUUAAGAAGAUGCACUUAACCGGUCUAAGUGACCGAUUGAGAGAGGGAAAGGGUUGGAAUAGACCCAGCCUUUGUGGCCUCCUCAAUGGGGAGUAGGUUCCAUGGAACCGAACCUCGGGAAACAAAUCACCGUGUUCACUUGUGUUGAUCUUUAUCACUCGAUUUGUUUCUUCCCUCUCCUCUCUCUCUAAAAGUUCCCUUGCUCACAUUGAUUUGAGUUUGCUCCCAAACUUAUCCGCAUUGAUUGAGCAACUCAUAGCAAGGAGAACUAUCUUCCGCUCUCCGAAUUCAAUAUUAAUUAUCUCUAACCCUAACCCUGUGCGAAGUGCGUGUUCAAAGUAUAUAAUUUUUAGGUUUCGCCUAUUCAUCGCCUCUAGGCGAGUUUCAUGCUUCCUAUGGAAGAAUGUCAUUGUUGCCACAUAUCUUUAAGUCAUUAUAUUGGAGCAAAGUGGUGUAACCAUGUCAACCUCUAUUAUUCGUGGAAACGAUCCUUCAGGGAUUGUCGCAAGUUAAUUGGUAUAUCAAAUGUGCGAAUGUAGGAUUUAAACAUAGUGUAAUCUUCAAGACUCCACAUCUACAUGAAUAGCUAGAAAGAUGACUUGUCUACUCAAUUAUAGGGAAUUGAACCAUAAACAUUCGGGGUACUCCAAUUAUACAAAAAAUGUAAUUUUGAGAUUCGUAUUGGACAAAUGAGGUCAAAUUUAACCAAAUUUAUAUUCAGUAAUGUUAAUAUUUAUAUCAAAUAUAUUAUACUAGAACUUUUAAUACACAGUGAAAUGAACUACGAGCUUUCCAAAGAACCCCAACGUUCUUCUUUGUUAAAAAUACAAUUUUGUACGCGCAUGCAUAGGCAACUAAUUCUUCUAACUAGUUGUUAUAACAUUUUAUUUUAUAUAUAGUAGUCAGUUGUCAGUAUGUUACUAUGGUUUUCAUAUUCACAAUAUUUAUAAUAUACAUUCUUCUAGAACAUGAAUAAAUAUGUGUUUCGGUGGUUAGACGCUAAGCAUAGGAGGAAUGGUUCUAACCCUAGGUUCUGCAUUUUUUGGAUUUUGUCAUGGGAGAACUUAAUGCAUAAAGGGCGAUAUCUUAAUUAAUGUUGGAAAUUGUACAAGUAAUGCAUGCAAAUGGUGAAGACAGAAGUUUUAUCUCAUGAGUAGAAAGCUCAUGUUAUGUAGCACGAAUGAACACCUUAGCUUCGACCUUCAAAGAAUGACCAACGCACGUUAAUGAUGGCCCUACAUCUAGAAUCAACAUGUACUGUCAUAUAUUUCAAUUAGUCAUAAAAAAUAUGUAUUCUAUUAAAAUGUAGCCAUGCAUGAUAAAGUUAGGAUUACGUAGGAGAUACAUGGACAACACAACAUUCAUGGAUCCUUUUAUAACAAAUGAAGGCCUAUCAAAUAUUUCAUUAGGCACUUAUUAUAUAACUUGUCAAUCCAUUUCUUAACUCUUCUCUUUUAAACAACAGCGAAGUCUCACUCUAGCUAUAUAUGGAGAUGGAGAAGAUGGAGAAGGAGGAUGACGCCAUUAUUGUUGGCGCCAGCAUCACUGUCGUAAUAGGGUAGUGGUAGCAAAUAGAUAUCACGGUCCAAUGCAUGCAUGUGUAAUGCAUUGCUUGGGAUCCAACCCAAUCUAGUAUAGCUAGCAUAGUCCGGCUUAAAGUAUUGUUAGCACUAAAGUUAAUUAUUUGGCGGUGUAGGCGGUGUUGGCCUUCCAGUUGGCAGGGAUGACAUCGUCGUAGACGGUCUUGGUGCCUCCCUCGGUAGUGAGGCGGACGGUGAGGGGUCCCUUAAGCGGUUUGUCGCUGUCCUUCCUCCAGAUGGCACCCCAAGAGUGCUUCAGGGGCUCGUACGUGUCGGAGCCCUUCUCCUUGAUGUCCACCGCCACAAUGUCACCGUCGCCGUCGACGUACUUGACCAGCAGCGCCAGGUAGUUGGGGCCGCACCCCUUUUCAAGAUGGAAGGUGACCUUGGAGCCGUACUUGCACUUGACCCUUCGGAACUGCAUGUCGAUGAUGCCCGCCUUGCGCAGCUUCUCCUCCUCACCCUUCUUGGCCAUGGCGCCGAACGCCGUGCCUGCCAAAUCGAAGUGGUACGCCGCGAUAGGCUCAUAGUUCAUGUCUGUGAUGUGCACCACCACGGGCUUGCCGGAGCACUCCACAGGCUUAUCGCACUUGAUCUCGAAGCAGGACCCACAACCCAGACCAUCCUUGAAGAUGGGGAUGUUGCCGCACGCGCCCAUGCUAUUGAAGGGGGGCUUGUUCACGUCCUUGUACCCGCAGCCGCCACCAUUGUCGUCGGGACCGGCACCCGUCGGCUUGCCAUACCAUGUUGCUUUAGCGUCUAACCAGUCCUUGCCAUAGGUGGCCGUGAUGUUCUUGCCAGGGGGGACUUUGGGAGGACCGCACCAUGCACCGCUCACCAAGAAGGACAACGCCACAACCAUCGCAACUUGUGCCUGCAUCAACGACCACAUGGUGCUCACAUUCACAGCCAUAUUUUGUCUUGGAUCAGUGAAUGGUACUAUGCUACGAUGAAUGAGCUGGUAGACCUGAAUUUAUGGUUGUGCGUGCCAACGGUUGGACGAUCGAGCUUGCAACCGUGAAGCGCGCGCAUGCAUGCUGCAACAAGGAGGUAGAGCUUGCACGGUCGAGCGAGCUAUUCUCUUGGCCGCCAGUUUACUAAUUGGUUCCGUAAGUCGAAGGUGACCAUGCAUGGUAGCUCUGCAUGCAAAGAUGCUCGUAUGGUCGCGAUACUUAUGCCAUGGUGCUACUUUGGCUAAUGGUGAAGCGAGGACUCUCCUUCUUCUCGCUUUGAAAGGGAAAUAGCUUCAACAUUUCCUGUAAUCGAUUUUGGUGUUUGACGUCCAUCACAAAACCAUAUGGACUAAUUAGUUUGCCUACUGGACAUUUUUCCCACGUGCAUAAAGUUCAUAUAAACAUACAAAGAAAAGGACUUGAGUGAAUUCUAUAAAGUUUGGAGCAUAAAAGUUCUUGUGCUGCCAGUAGCACACCGGACACUAUCCGGUACCCUGGUGAGGACCUCGCGAACUGGUCACUCUCAGGUUUUCUCUGCGUUAGUCCACUAAAAUUCAUCGGACUGUCCGGUGCACCACCGUACUGUCCAGUGAGACAACAGAGCAACGAUCAACUUCGCGCAACGGUCAACUUCGCUGACUACAGGGCAGUCUGCAGCGCAGAAGUCAGAAGUCAGUCUGCAAAGUCAGAACACACCAGACUGUCCGGUGCCACAAGAAGACAGAAGACUUCAACGGUCAACAGCUCCAAACCCCAAAGGUCGGCUGACGUGGCACUCACCGGACAGUGAACAGUGCAGUGUUCGUUGCACCACCGGACUGUCUGGUGUGCCCAUCGACAGCAACAGCUGGAAUAGUGGUUGGGGCUAUAAAAACCCCCGACCACCACCAUUCAAGCCAUCCAAGCAUUGCAACUUACUCAUUCAAUACUAGAGCAAAAGAAUACACUCCAAAGACACAAUCAAAGCAUCAAAUCCUCUUCAAGCUUCAAAAUCAAGUCAAGUGAUCAAAAGUGCUUAGUGACUUGAGAGAGGUUGAUUUGUGUUUGUUUUGUUGCUCUUGUUGCUUGGUUGCAUUCUUCUUCUCAUUCUAAACUUCUCAAGUGUUUUGUAAAGCAAGCGAGAGACACCUAAUUGUGUGGUGAUCCUUGCGGGGUCUUAGUGACCCGCGUGAUUAAGAAGAUGCACUUAACCGGUCUAAGUGACCGAUUGAGAGAGGGAAAGGGUUGGAAUAGACCCAGACUUUGUGGUCUCCUCAAUGGGGAGUAGGUUCCUUGGAACCGAACCUCGAGAAACAAAUCACCGUGUUCACUUGUGUUGAUCUUUAUCACUCGAUUUGUUUCUUCCCUCUCCUCUCUCUCUCUCUCUAAAAGUUCCCUUGCUCACAUUGAUUUGAGUUUGCUCCCAAACUUAUCCGCAUUGAUUGAGCAACUCAUAGCAAGGAGAACAAUCUUCAGCUCUCCGAAUUCAAUAUUAAUUAUCUCUAACCCUAACCCUGUGCGAAGUGCGUGUUCAAAGUAUAUAAUUUUUAGGUUUCGCCUAUUCACCCCCUCUAGGCGAGUUUCAUGCUUGCCACAUAUUUUAAGUCAUUAUAUUGGAGCAAAGUGGCGUAACCAUGUCAACCUCUAUUAUUCGUGGAAAUGAUCCUUCAGGGAUUGUCGCAAGUACGUUAAUUGGUAUAUCAAAUGUGCGAAUGUAGGAUUUAAACAUAGUGUAAUCUUCAAGACUCCACAUCUAUAUGAAUAGCUAGAAAGAUGACUUGUCUAGACAAUUAUAGAGAAUUGAACCAUAAACAUUCGGGGUACUCCAAUUAUACAAAAAAAUGUAAUUAUGAGAUUCGUGUUGGACAAAUGAGGUCAAAUUUAACCAAAUUUAUAUUCAGUAUUGUUAAUAUUUAUAUCAAAUAUAUUAUAAUAGAACUUUUAAUACACAGUGAAAUGAACUGCGAGCUUUCCAAAGAACCCCAACGUUCUUCUUUGCUAAAAAGACUAUUUUGUACGCGCAUGCAUAGGCAACUAAUUCUUCUAACUAGUUGUUAUAACAUUUUAUUUUAUAUAUAGUAGUCAGUUGUCAGUAUGUUACUAUGGUUAUCAUAUUCACAAUAUUUAUAAUAUACAUUCUUCUAGAACAUGAAUAAAUAUGUGUUUCAGUGGUUAGACGCUAAGCAUAGGAGGAAUGGUUCUAACCCUAGGUUCUGCAUUUUUUGGAUUUUCUCAUGGGAGAACUUAAUGCAUAAAGGGCGACAACUUAAUUAAUGUUGGAAAUUGUGAUACCCGGUUUGCAAAGAAGAGAAGUUGGGGAUUGUUCUUUUUGUUUUUUUCCUCAUCCGGUUGUUGUUUUGGGGAUUUGGAAUUUUGUGGAAAACAUUCACAACUAGGGCAGUAGAAUUUAUUUGGUUUGACGCUAGCAUUGUGGUCGGGAGCUGUCGCGUGGGUUAGUUGGGCCGCAAUAGGUGUUUCGGCCCAUUAACCCUCCCAAACCCUAGCCGCCUCCCUCCUAACCCCCUCCCCCCAUGUGCAGCCCCCCCACUUCUCCUCCUCCCCUUGGCCGCCGCCCCCCUGCCCAUCUCCUCCUCUCUCAAUUUUUGCAGCCACCAAACCCUAGCCCCCCCCCCCCUCAAUCCCCUCAUCCCAAGGUGCCAAUCCUUGCCGCUCGGAUCGUCGUCUCGUGGUGCGAUUCUCCAACCGUUUUGGUGGAGGGAAGAAGGGAGGAAGGAAAGGGGGAGAACCCAAGGUGAUUUUUGUGUUCAUCCCUUGUUCAUUUGCGCUGCGAUUCAAUUGAUUAGAUGUUGCGUUUGCGAUUAGAUAGAGGGGGGCUGUCCAGAAUUUUACGUGGUGGAUGAACAGCGGAAGUUCUAGCAGUUUUUAGGGUUUUUUCGUGAAGAAUUAAUGGGGAUCAAUUUGGGGAUCUUGUAGAACUUUGUUUUACCUUUCCAACGAGUAUUUAUGCGCUCAAUUUGGAGUUAUAAAUUAAAAGUUAUCAUCGUUUGAAUCCGGGUGUGUGGCUGUCCAAAAAAACAGAUUUUUCAGAGUGAUGAACAGCAGCAGUAUUAGCAGUUUCUGGGGAUUUUUCGGGAGUAAUUAGUGUUAAUCAGUAUGAGAAUCAUGUAGGGCUUUUUCUUAUCUUUCCAACAAGUACUUAUGCGCUCAAAUCGGAAUUAUAUUUUAAAAGUUAUCGCUGUUUGAAUCCGAGUAUGUCGCUGCCCAAAUCAGAAAAAAACAGAUUGCAUGGUUUAUUUUGUGGACCGUUUAGAGGUAAUUAGAUGUUAGAAUUUAAUCAUGAGUUGUAUACAAAACUUGUGGGGAAUUUUAUGUAGUUGUCUCUGAAGUUUUUGUUUGACACCACUGCUGUCCUAAUUUUUAAGUUAUGGAAUUGUUAAGCAGCGCCGCUGCAGUUUGGUUAGUGAGGGGAGAAUUGUUACCGCGGCGGGGUUUGAGAUUGUGCGUAGGUGCGGUGUUGUCUUUGAGUUUUUUUAUGUGAAUUUGGUGCACUAAGUUGGGUGUCAAAAACAGGUGGUGGACUUCCGGAUCGUUCUUAGGGAUUUUGCCCAAACUUCGGUGAAGGCAAGUAAAACUGUGAUGGUUAUUCCGUCGGUCAGAUGAGGAGUCUUAUACUUGUUUAUGUUGUGCUAUCAUGUUCAAAUUCAUAUUUUCUUUUGAGUACCAUCAUUUGAAAAUGUUCAUGUUUCAUGGAUUUCAUAUGUUGAGUUUGAGGUUUGAUUAUGUUACUCAAGUGGUUAUUAUGUGGAAUGGUUGGAAGUAAAUGCCUAGCACAUUUUUAUUUGGGAAGAACUUAUGAUGUUGUCAUGCAUAAUGCACUCAUCAUCUAUUGCAUUGAAGUUUCGUCGCGAUCUUAUGGUCCGACCGUACCGGUACAUUGAGCAUCAUAUGUUGCCCGAGAAGGGGUAUGGUGCAGCUUCAUAUCCUUAGAGAUAUGGAGGCAGAAGUCAUUAUUGCAUUUGUAGCCAUGUGCAUUCAUGGGAGAGGUGUUGAAUCUAUUAUGUGGAUGUGGAUAAUUUGGACUUGUGCAUGGUGAUUCUACUUGGCGUUGAGUUUUUAGUUACUUGUAUACUUGCUGCAAUUUACUGUUCAAAAGAAAAGAAAGAAGUCCUGAACACGUGGUUGUGUAAGCACAGUUGAUUUACAAAGGCCUACUUGUUGUUGUUAUGUUUACUUGCUGAGAUGUGUUAUCUCACAUCUUGCAUUGUUUGAUGCAGACACCUAAUUUCUGCUUUGGGAAAUAAAGGGGAUGUAGCAGCACGGCCACUACACCUUUAAUAAAGGAACCACCAUUUAAUAAUGUUGAUAAUCAGAGUUGGACAAGUCUAGUGAAUUGCUUUGUUCUUGGUUGAGCGUUUAUUUUUGUCACACCCGGUUUUAGAAGGCAAACCGAAUGCGAACCAUGUACGUGCCAGGAUCAGUUAUUCACGUACACAGCAGUUACAUAAUAUGGACAUCAUCACACAGUGCUCAAAAUAGUAUUAAUAAGGGAAAUAGUCGAUUACAUCAUACGUCUGAGACGCCCAUAUAGUCCUUACAAUAAAUCAAAGUGCGGAAAAGAAACGUAGAUAACCGCGGCCUUCACUGGCAGCCGACUGGGGGUUGCCGCUAACCCACACCUAGAACUCGUCGUAAUCUUGGAACUCCUGGAAGUCUCCUUCCACGGCUUCAUCUUCGCCUGAGCAGUGGUUGCAAUGCUGACAACCUGGGGAUGGGGGGGUUUGGUGUGUAGAGCAAGGGUGAGUACACAUCAACAUACUCAGCAAGUAUCCUGUUUGGCUGUAGUGGACUAGCUUUAUGUGGGGAUAAGUCAAGCAGUUGCUUUUAGUUGGUCAGAUUAUUACUUACUAGUAGAAAGCCAAGUUUUAGCAUUAACCCAAGUUAUUAACCCAAACGUACUCCUUUCCAAACGGAAAGAGUACCACUUACCAGCAUCAUAGUCAUAACCAAAACCAUCAAUCUCAUAUCCACCUGUACCAAAGUAUCUCUGAUCAAGUACCACUAAUCACUGGAGCUCCCUUGGCCGCUCAUAACCGUGAGCACGGCUGAUAUAUCAGUUUUCAAACACUCUGCAGAGGUUGUGCACUUUACCCACAAGCCGUGAUUCCCAUUCUGCCCGGAGAUCAUGACUCUCCAUUGAUCACUACCAAGGUGACCCAGCAGGGCAUCACUACGUAGCCUUUACAAAGAUUCCCCGGGGCUGUAGCCACCCGUUAGGUUUCCUAAAUGCACCGCACUCCUCCCCAAGGGGCGAACCCAAACUUGGCAGAGCGAGCCGCAUACACCGAGCCCCAUUGACGGCACGACGGCUAAGUGAACUACACCCCGGAUCCUCUAAUUAUUCAGCUAAGGGCACCCCAUUCCACCCUCAUGGUUGCACUGUUUUCCCGGGCGGUCAUCCAUAGAACAGGUCCUUACGGAGAGGCACUCGAGAAACCGCUCGAGCCCCCUUGAUGACCACAAGCAUAACAUCAUAAUAAGAGAAGGGAAAACAGCGUAUCAUAGAUAAUCUCAUCAUGUUCAUUGAUUAGAGUUUAAGCAAUAGCAUAAAGCUAAACAGUAAUAAUCCAACCCAGAUAGGUAAACAAGGACAUGGAUAACAAAAGCUAGUCAAUCCUUAGGCAUAAAUGUGUAAAGCGGGAGGUGAAUUAAAUAAUGAAUAGGACAUAGAUAGGUCAAGGGACACUUGCCUCCACCAACCGUCUGCUGCUCAGGGGCUUCUCCUGCGAGUUCCUCAGGCUCUUCAACCGGAUCGUUCUCUAAGCGGGUGCAAACAUACAUACAUCCAUCCAUCGAAAUUAGGAAACCAACAGUACACCAUACAAGAGAACAAGUAAAGCAAAUAUGCAUAGAAUACCACAUACGAUAAUGAAUUUACCUUGGUUAGAAAGAAACGAGGGAAAGUUUCGCAGGGGUUGAGGCUUAUGCUCGAGGGACACUACGGGUAGACGAAAGACUAGACGUCACGUGCUCUAGUUUUAAUUAGUUCUAACAAAAGAAUUAGCUACAUGCACUAAUGUAAUCGCAACCACUUUUAGUAGAUUAACAUUGAACGAGAUAGAUGAUUAGUUAUACGAAUUAACUAACGUAACCAAUUUCCAAAUUGAGACUCCUAUCUUAUUAAUAUAAACGACGUGAUUAGCGCAUAUAGGAGACGGGGGGGUAGACGAGGGGUUAGGGGGUAGACGAGGCACGACGAGUCGUGCCAAGGCACGCGCAAUACGCGGGCACGCACGCGAGGCCGCACGCACACGCCGCGGACUAACCGUACGCACGUCGGAGCCGUGCGCUAGCCGAGCUCAAAGCCGCGCGCCAUAGGCACGCUGGGCCAAGCUCGAGGCCACGCAGGGGCCGACACGACGCGAGCAAGGCACGGCGGGGCGAGCGGGCAAGCACGCCGGGGAAAGCGAGCGCGGGCGAGCGAGGAUACGGUCGGGCGAGGCCGAACGCGGGGAUGGGCGGCCGAACCGGGGCACGGGGGCGGUUGAACCGGGGGGGGGGGCGGCCGAGCUUGCCGGAAGGCGGCCGAGCUCGCCGGGAGGGGCGGCUGGGCCGGGCCGGGGCGCGAGCGGCCGAGCCGAGGCCGGGGCAGCCGAGGCCGGGCGCGAGCGGUCGAGGCCGGGCGCGGGGCAGGGCGGGGUAGGGGCGGGACGCCGGGGGCGCGGGCGGCCGAGCUCGCCGGGCGCGGGGAAGGGCGGGGCGCGGCCGGGCGGGACGCCGGUGGCGCGGGCGGCCGAGCUCGCCGGGCGCGGGGAAGGGCGGGGCGCGGCCGGGCGGGACGCCGGUGGCGCGGGCCGCCGAGCUCGCCGGGCGCGGGGAAGGGCGGGGCGCGGCCGGGCGGGACGCCGGGGGGCGCGGGCUGGGCGGGGUCGCCGGGGCGGAGCCGGGCGAGGGCGACCGGGGCGCGAGACGGGGCGGGGUCGCCGGAGCGGGGCCGAGGACGGGGCGGUGUGCCGGGCGCCAUGGCCGCGAGCGCCAUGGCCGCGAGCGGCCGGGCCGAGCCGAGCGGCGGGGGCGCGACCGGCCGAGCCGGGGCCAAGGCGGGCGGCGCGGGGGAGGGCGCCGGGGAGAGGAGAGGGAGGAGGGAGAGGGAGGAGGAGGGAGGGGCCUCACCGGAGGGGAGAACGGCGGGGAGCGGCGGCGGCGCGGGGGAGGGCGCCGGUUAGGGUUUGGGGAGAGAGAGGGAGAGGGGAUGACGGGCGGGGCCCGCGGGAGGAUUUUUGGAAAAAAGAAAAGAGGUGGGGGGCGGCUGGGCCGGCUGGGCCCAAAGGGGGGGGAAGGGGGGCGCGCGGGUGGGCCGGCCGGGAGGCCCACGCGGGAGGGGAGGGGGAGGCGGCUUGGGCCGGCCAGGAGGCCCACGCGGGGGGGGGGAGAGGGGGGGCGGCUUGGGCCGAAAUGGGAAAGGGAGAGAGAGAAAAAGAAAAGGAUUUUCUUUUUCUAAAAUCUAAUUUUCUUUGGAUGAAUGCUUUCACAUUUUAAUCAAUCAAAAAAUAUGCAUGGUUUGGCAUGGUGCAUCACAGAAAAUAAAGUGUUUUAAGGUUUUGCUUCACACGAGGUCUAAAGCCAAAACCCGCUGCGACUUUGGAAAAGAUCAAGGCUUAGCGAGAAGAAAAGGGAAAAAGGAAAGAGUAACGCCUGAAUUUGGUGAGAGAAAAGAAGAAAAAAUUCUACCCCCAAAUUCAGGGCGUUACAAACCUAUCCCCCUUAAAAGAAUCUCGCCCUCGAGAUUCAGGGUUGGCUAGCAAAGAGCUCAGGGUAUUUGGCCAUCAGAUCAUCUUCACGCUCCCAGGUUGCUUCUUCCUCAGAGUGAUGAUCCCAUCUGACUUUGCACAUUCUGAUGGUCUUCCUUCGGGUGACUCGGUCUGCAACCUCAAGGAUCUGCACUGCCUUCUCAACGUAGGUCAAGUCCUCCUGGACUUCAAGACCUUCCACUGGCAACUGCUCUUCUGGCACACGCAAGCACUUCUUCAACUGAGACACGUGAAAGACAUCAUGCACAGCUGACAAAUUCUCGGGCAAACUGAGCUGAUAAGCCACUUCUCCACGUCUUGCAAGAAUCUGAUACGGACCGAUGUAGCGGGGUGCUAGCUUGCCUUUGACUCCGAACCUCUUGACCCCUCUGAUCGGUGACACUUUCAGAUAGACAAAGUCUCCGACUUCGAAACUCAGCUCUCUUCUUCUUGUGUCUGCAUAGCUUCGCUGCCUCGAUUGCGCUAUCUUCAGAUUCUCUCGGACCAUCUUGAUGUUCUCUUCGGCUUCAAGCAAAAUGUCUGGCCCAAACACUUGCUUCUCUCCAGGCUGAUCCCAUUGCAACGGAGUUCUACAACUCCUUCCAUAGAGCGCCUGAAAUGGUGACAUCUUCAAACUGGCCUGAUAACUGUUGUUAUAGGAAAACUCCGCAUAAGGCAAUCUCUUAUCCCAUCCGGACUGAUCUUGCAACGCACAGGCUCUCAACAUGUCUUCAAGAAUUUGGUUGGUCCUUUCGGUCUGGCCAUCUGUCUGCGGAUGAUAAGCUGAACUGAAAUUCAGAUGCGUGCCCAAGGCUUCAUGCAACUGCUGCCAGAAAUAAGAGGUGAACUGCGUUCCUCUGUCUGACACUAUCUUCUUUGGCACACCAUGAAGACAAACGAUCCGAGACAUAUACAAUUCUGCCAAUACUGCACUGCUGUAGUUGGUCUUGACAGGUAUGAAGUGGGCUGACUUGGUCAAGCGGUCCACUACUACCCAGAUGGAAUCAUAGCCGGCUCGAGUGCGAGGCAAUCCGACUAUGAAAUCCAUACCAAUUUCAUCCCAUUUCCACUGAGGGAUCUGCAACGGUUGCAACAAUCCAGCAGGUCUCUGGUGUUCUGCCUUAAUUCUUCGGCAACUAUCGCACAUAGCCACAUGCUCUGCGAUUUCCCUCUUCAUUCCGUACCACCAGAAUUUCUUCUUCAGAUCCUGAUACAUCUUCUCACUGCCAGGGUGAAUCGAAUAAGCUGUCUCAUGAGCUUCCUUGAGAAUCAACUCCCGAAUGGACUGGACAUUGGGAACACACAAGCGGUCUUUGAACCAUAUCACGCCUUCUGCAUCUUCUCGAAAAUCCUUGCCUUUUCCAUCUAGAAUCAGUCGCCGGAUCUCACUGAUCUUCUCAUCAUUCUUCUGCGCUUCUUUGAUUUCGCGCUCCAAGGUAGGUUCCAACUCAACUGUAACUCCUCGCGAAUUGUUCAGAAAUCCGAGACUCAACCUGUCAAACUCCUUGGCCAACUCAUAAGGCAUCGGACGAGCGACCAUCAGAUUGACUUGACUCUUUCUGCUCAAAGCAUCUGCCACUACAUUUGCUUUGCCUGGAUGGUAAUGAAUCUCCAACUCAUAGUCUUUGAUCAACUCUAACCAUCUUCGUUGCCUCAUGUUCAACUUUGACUGAGUGAAUAUGUACUUCAGACUCUUAUGGUCUGUGUAAACAUCGCAUUUCUGUCCAUACAAAUAGUGCCUCCAUGUCUUCAGUGCGUGAACCACUGCUGCCAACUCUAGGUCAUGGAUUGGGUAAUUCUUCUCAUGAACCUUCAACUGUCGGGACGAGUAAGCCACAACUCUUCCCUCUUGCAUCAACACACAUCCCAAACCUGUGUAACAAGCAUCACAAUACACCGAGAAGGGCUUGUGUACAUCAGGCAAGACUAAGACAGGCGCUGUAGUCAACUUCUCUUUUAGCGCUUCAAAGGCCUCUUGGCAUUUCUGGGUCCACUUGAACUCAACUUUGUUGCCUAGCAACGCUGUCAUUGGUUUCGCAAUCUUCGAAAACCCUUCAAUGAAUCGCCGAUAAUAUCCGGCCAUUCCAAUGAAGCUCUUGAUUCCUCUAGCAUCUGUUGGCGCUUUCCAGUUCAGAAUGUCUGCCACUUUCUUCGGAUCCACAGCCAAUCCUUCUUUGUUGAUUAUGUGACCCAAGAACAGGACUUCACUGAUCCAGAACUCACACUUGCUCAACUUUGCAUACAGUUGGUGCUCUCGCAAUCUCUGCAAUACCAUCCUCAAAUGAUCUGCGUGCUCUUCUUCGCUUUGAGAAUAAACCAGAAUAUCAUCAAUGAAUACCACCACAAACUUAUCAAGGUAAUCCAUGAAUACACUGUUCAUCAAGUUCAUGAAGAAUGCGGGCGCAUUGGUCAAACCGAAAGACAUCACUGUGAACUCGUACAAACCAUACUUGGAAAUGAAUGCCGUCUUCGGAAUGUCCGAAGGUCGGAUCCUGAGCUGAUGAUAACCUGACCUCAGAUCAAUCUUCGAGAACACACUGGCUCCUCUCAACUGGUCGAACAGAUCUUCUAUUCUGGGCAAGGGAUACUUGUUCUUGAUCGUGACCUCAUUCAAAGCUCGAUAAUCGAUACACAUUCUCUUGGUGCCGUCUUUCUUCUCCACAAAUAGGACAGGGGCGGCCCAAGGCGAGGUGCUUGGCCGAAUGUAACCUUUCUCUGACAGCUCAUCAAUCUGCUCCUUAAGCUCAACCAACUCUGGUCCAGAUAUUCUGUAAGCUCUCUUGAAGAUAGGGGCGGUUCUGGGAAGAAGCUCUAUGCCAAAUUCAACUUUCCGCUCUGGUGGCAUGCCCGGUAAGUCCUUCGGAAACACAUCUGAGAACUCAGACACAACCUUGAUACUCUCAAUUGGGUCUGCUCCACUGCUAUCAACAGUUAUUCGAUAACAACUUCCUUUCUUUGGCUCAGGCGGGACUAACUCGGUUACCACUUCCUCUCCUAGUGGGGACACCAACUUGAUGGUCCUUUUAUCACAACCGAUAACUGCCUGAUACUUAUCUAGCCAAUUCAUCCCUAGGAUGACAUCUAUUCCCUGAGUACCCAUUACUAUAAGGUUGGCGGGAAACGCUAUCCCCCUUAUUUUCACACUUAUAUUCAAACAAAUGCUAUCGGCUCGAAUUCUACCACCGGCUGAGUCGAUUUGAAUGGGGGUUGACAUGGUAGUAAUUGGAAGAUUAUGUGCUUCUACCCAUGAUGCAGUAAUGAAAGAAUGCGUUGCUCCAGUAUCAAAUAACACUUCUGCAAUAUGGGAGUCGACUGGGAACAUACCUACUAUCAUGCCGGGGGUCUCCUGAACUGCUUCCGCCUCCAAGUGGUUCAGUCUUCCAUGAUUAUAGCGCGGCUGAGAGCGAUUGCCUGUUCCAGGCUAAGGCACAUUCUGCUUUGCUGGGGCAUUGGGGCCUGACCGCUGCUGGGCUGCCUUCUUCGGGCAUUGCAUCACCCAGUGGCCUUGCUCUCCACAGUGGAAACAUGCCCUGUUUCCAACCUGAGCUGGUGCUGCCUGAUUGUUCUGCUGAUUUGCUGGGGCAGGAAGGCGAGGUGCUUGCUGAUUCUGCCUCUGAAACUGACCUCCUGACUGAUUGCUCUGACGGUUCUGGUACUGAUGCUGAGGAUACUGCCUUUGAAACUGCUGAUGCUGCUGAGGUGGACGCUGGUUCUGCCUGAACUGCUGAGGUUGAUUGCCUGAGAAACGAGGACGAUUGCUGCUUCCAGGCUGGGGUCCACUGAUCUUGCGCUUACGAUCCUCCAUCUCCUUACGCUUUCUCUCUGUCAUGAUUGCUCUGUCGAUCAGGUGCUGGAAUGUCGGGAAGGUGUGAUUCAUCAGCUGAUACUGGAGAGGGUCAACCAAGCCUCUCAGGAAACGAUACUGCCGCUUGGCAUCGGUGUUGACAUCUUCAGGAGCAUAGCGAGACAAUUGCAGAAACUUGUCCCGGUACUCACUGACAGACAAUGGCCCUUGCUUGAGGGCCAGGAACUCCUCCUUUUUCACUGUCAUCAGACCUGCAGGAACAUGGUACUGACGAAAGCUACCUCUGAACUCUUCCCAAGUGAUGGCGUCAGGGUGGGCAUGGGUGGCGAGGUAAGACUCCCACCAUGAUUGGGCUGCUCCUCUCAACAGACGGGGACCAUACAGGACUUUCUCCCUGUCAUCGCACUGAGCGGUAUGCAACUCCCGCUCCACAGUGCGCAGCCAAUCUUCAGCAUCCAUAGGGUCAGAAGAAUGAGCGAACGUUGGUGGAUGACCUCUCAUGAAUUCAGCACGCUUGUCUCUGGGCAUCUGAGGCAUCUGAGGCUGAGGUGGGGCCUGCUGCUGCUGCUGCUGAAUGGCGGCCAGAGUCUGACCGAUGGCUUGAACUGCCUGAGUCUGCAUCAGAAACAUCUGCUCGAUCGACAUCGGGGGCGGGGGCGGCAGGUGCUGCUGCUGGGGCUCCUCCUCCUGUUGAGCGGCUCGCUCCUGCUGAGCACGCCUUCCUCCUCUGCGCCUGUUCUCUGACAUCUGCAGAAUGCAACCACACAUCAGAACUGAUCUGGCAAAUCUUGCAGCAUAAGGAAAGAGAAUAGAAUUCUUCAACAGCACUGAACAGGUGAGCAUCUUCACUGAUCUCCAACACAGACCACACAGCUUCUCAGAUAGAAAGGAAAGUGGAAUAAAAGGGGUUUCCCAACUAUAUAAUUAACUCCAUUAAUAUAAUAGGCAAACCAAAAUGCAGGGGGUACCCACACUCUGGUGACAAUCAUUACAAAGAUCCAAACUAAACAUAGUUCAUCAUGACAAACAUAAAUGCACAGGAUAUAGCAAACUACCCUGUCUAACUAAGACUAACUAAGACCGAGACUAACGCUAAGACUGAAGCUUCUACGUAUAUAUAUUUCGUAUUAAUUACAAGAUCCAACUCUAACGAUCUAUGGUUCUAGAGUUAUCUUGGUCUUGCAGGCGGGAUUGCCAUAAGACUGGUGUCCACGCUGAGGUGAGCGGUACGGGUGCUGAGUCCCAACGGGAGCGGGGGAACCACCAUCCAGGUGACGACGUUCCGCGCGCUCAGCCCGCAGCAGGGCGAUCUCAGCACGAGCCCUACUCAGCUCGUCUAAUGCAUGGUCCAGCUCCGUGUUUAGCACGGCGGCUAGGUUGACUGUGCUGCUCAACCUAGGAUUGCCCUCACCGACAGGUGAGACAAUCACGCCUCCUGUGCUGCCAGAUGGACGGCGGGGGUAAUACUUCAGGUCAAGACCGUCAGCUGCCCCACCGAAAACCGAGCAGUAGUGCGAAAGCGCACGCCGUGCAGCAUCUUGCAUGGCUGCCUCAGCUGAGUCCCGUUUAGAGAUAGAAUAGUGCUCUGAACAGGCCUCUGCACCCUGGAGACUGUUCUCCGGGCAGCGCACCAAGCAAGUCGCCUCCCAGCGGUCCGGGUAGACCCCGCGACUGUGCUGGUAGACCACACAGCGAUACUCGACGGACCAAGUAUGCCGGUCAAAUGCCCGACGUAGCAGGGUGUCGAGCGCAUCGUGGAAGUGACACCCGCGAGCAGCGUCGCGAGUGAUGGGUCGAGCAACCCAUCCUUCCGGCUCAAGGUUAGCAGAGAAGUCGGUGUCGUGGCUCGAGCUGUCGUCGCCAUCUCCGUCGUCUGGGUCUCCUCCAGCAGCUACUCCAGAAGCUGGGGCGCCCAGUGGUGGUGCAGGGAGCGGCUCCAGAGGAAGCACAGGGGAGCAGCUCCUCACAGACUCUAUCUCCUGGUGGAGCGAGAAAGAAGAGCUCUGCUGCUCCUGUCGUCGACGUUCCUGCUCCUCACGCAGGCGGUGGUGUAGUCUCUCCAAGUGGCUGGACUGUCCGGCCACGGGACGGCGAAGCGGACGCUCAGCAAGGCGGGAGGGUAAGAAGGGGAUGACUGACUUUCGUGCAGUGUAUCUAAGUCGAGCCAUCUACAAAAGACAUCGCAAGCAAAAGGGUGAGAACAGAAUUCAUAUGACCAGCAAGUAAUGAACCAUAAGUAAAUGAAGGAUUAGAAUAAAACAUGAUUUUCAGCAAGGUAUAAUAUAUAGUAGAACAUAGGUGUGGUCGGUAUGACCAACUUUUGAAGGGAUAUCAAAGUCAAGGCAGAGACAGAGGUCUAUAGUCCUUAGAACGACCAUUCUACUCUAGGUUAGCGGUCCUACAGUCAGCACGGCUUUGAUACCACUUAUGUCACACCCGGUUUUAGAAGGCAAACCGAAUGCGAACCAUGUACGUGCCAGGAUCAGUUAUUCACGUACACAGCAGUUACAUAAUAUGGACAUCAUCACACAGUGCUCAAAAUAGUAUUAAUAAGGGAAAUAGUCGAUUACAUCAUACGUCUGAGACGCCCAUAUAGUCCUUACAAUAAAUCAAAGUGCGGAAAAGAAACGUAGAUAACCGCGGCCUUCACAGGCAGCCGACUGGGGGUUGCCGCUAACCCACACCUAGAACUCGUCGUAAUCUUGGAACUCCUGGAAGUCUCCUUCCAUGGCUUCAUCUUCGCCUGAGCAGUGGUUGCAAUGCUGACAACCUGGGGAUGGGGGGGUUUGGUGUGUAGAGCAAGGGUGAGUACACAUCAACAUACUCAGCAAGUAUCCUGUUUGGCUGUAGUGGACUAGCUUUAUGUGGGGAUAAGUCAAGCAGUUGCUUUUAGUUGGUCAGAUUAUUACUUACUAGUAGAAAGCCAAGUUUUAGCAUUAACCCAAGUUAUUAACCCAAACGUACUCCUUUCCAAACGGAAAGAGUACCACUUACCAGCAUCAUAGUCAUAACCAAAACCAUCAAUCUCAUAUCCACCUGUACCAAAGUAUCUCUGAUCAAGUACCACUAAUCACUGGAGCUCCCUUGGCCGCUCAUAACCGUGAGCACGGCUGAUAUAUCAGUUUUCAAACACUCUGCAGAGGUUGUGCACUUUACCCACAAGCCGUGAUUCCCAUUCUGCCCGGAGAUCAUGACUCUCCAUUGAUCACUACCAAGGUGACCCAGCAGGGCAUCACUACGUAGCCUUUACAAAGAUUCCCCGGGGCUGUAGCCACCCGUUAGGUUUCCUAAAUGCACCGCACUCCUCCCCAAGGGGCGAACCCAAACUUGGCAGAGCGAGCCGCAUACACCGAGCCCCAUUGACGGCACGACGGCUAAGUGAACUACACCCCGGAUCCUCUAAUUAUUCAGCUAAGGGCACCCCAUUCCACCCUCAUGGUUGCACUGUUUUCCCGGGCGGUCAUCCAUAGAACAGGUCCUUACGGAGAGGCACUCGAGAAACCGCUCGAGCCCCCUUGAUGACCACAAGCAUAACAUCAUAAUAAGAGAAGGGAAAACAGCGUAUCAUAGAUAAUCUCAUCAUGUUCAUUGAUUAGAGUUUAAGCAAUAGCAUAAAGCUAAACAGUAAUAAUCCAACCCAGAUAGGUAAACAAGGACAUGGAUAACAAAAGCUAGUCAAUCCUUAGGCAUAAAUGUGUAAAGCGGGAGGUGAAUUAAAUAAUGAAUAGGACAUAGAUAGGUCAAGGGACACUUGCCUCCACCAACCGUCUGCUGCUCAGGGGCUUCUCCUGCGAGUUCCUCAGGCUCUUCAACCGGAUCGUUCUCUAAGCGGGUGCAAACAUACAUACAUCCAUCCAUCGAAAUUAGGAAACCAACAGUACACCAUACAAGAAAACAAGUAAAGCAAAUAUGCAUAGAAUACCACAUACGAUAAUGAAUUUACCUUGGUUAGAAAGAAACGAGGGAAAGUUUCGCAGGGGUUGAGGCUUAUGCUCGAGGGACACUACGGGUAGACGAAAGACUAGACGUCACGUGCUCUAGUUUUAAUUAGUUCUAACAAAAGAAUUAGCUACAUGCACUAAUGUAAUCGCAACCACUUUUAGUAGAUUAACAUUGAACGAGAUAGAUGAUUAGUUAUACGAAUUAACUAACGUAACCAAUUUCCAAAUUGAGACUCCUAUCUUAUUAAUAUAAACGACGUGAUUAGUGCAUAUAGGAGACGGGGGGGGGGGGGGUAGACGAGGGGUUAGGGGGUAGACGAGGCACGACGAGUCGUGCCAAGGCACGCGCAAUACGCGGGCACGCACGCAAGGCCGCACGCACACGCCACGGACUAACCGUACGCACGUCGGAGCCGUGCGCUAGCCGAGCUCAAAGCCGCGCGCCAUAGGCACGCUGGGCCAAGCUCGAGGCCACGCAGGGGCCGACACGACGCGAGCAAGGCACGGCGGGGCGAGCGGGCAAGCACGCCGGGGAAAGCGAGCGCGGGCGAGCGAGGAUACGGCCGGGCGAGGCCGAACGCGGGGAUGGGCGGCCGAACCGGGGCACGGGGGCGGUUGAACCGGGGGGGGGCGGCCGAGCUCGCCGGGAGGGGCGGCUGGGCCGGGCCGGGGCGCGAGCGGCCGAGCCGAGGCCGGGGCAGCCGAGGCCGGGCGCGGGGCAGGGCGGGGUAGGGGCGGGACGCCGGGAGCGCGGGCGGCCGAGCUCGCCGAGCGCGGGGAAGGGCGGGGCGCGGCCGGGCGGGACGCCGGGGGCGCGGGCGGCCGAGCUCGCCGGGCGCGGGGAAGGGCGGGGCGCGGCCAGGCGGGACGCCGGGGGGCGCGGGCUGGGCGGGGUCGCCGGGGCGGAGCCGGGCGAGGGCGACCGGGGCGCGAGACGGGGCGGGGUCGCCGGAGCGGGGCCGAGGACGGGGCGGUGUGCCGGGCGCCAUGGCCGCGAGCGCCAUGGCCGCGAGCGGCCGGGCCGAGCCGAGCGGCGGGGGCGCGACCGGCCGAGCCGGGGCCAAGGCGGGCGGCGCGGGGGAGGGCGCCGGGGAGAGGAGAGGGAGGAGGGAGAGGGAGGAGGAGGGAGGGGCCUCACCGGAGGGGAGAACGGCGGCGGCGGCGCGGGGGAGGGCGCCGGUUAGGGUUUGGGGAGAGAGAGGGAGAGGGGAUGACGAGCGGGGCCCGCAGGAGGAUUUUUGGAAAAAAGAAAAGAGGUGGGGGGGCGGCUGGGCCGGCUGGGCCCAAAGGGCGGGGAAGGGGGGCGCGCGGGUGGGCCGGCCGGGAGGCCCACGCGGGAGGGGAGGGGAGGCGGCUUGGUCCGGCCAGGAGGCCCACGCGGGGGGGAGAGGGGGGGCGGCUUGGGCCGAAAUGGGAAAGGGAGAGAGAGAAAAAGAAAAGGAUUUUCUUUUUCUAAAAUCUAAUUUUCUUUGGAUGAAUGCUUUCACAUUUUAAUCAAUCAAAAAAUAUGCAUGGUUUGGCAUGGUGCAUCACAGAAAAUAAAGUGUUUAAGGUUUUGCUUCACACGAGGUCUAAAGCCAAAACCCGCUGCGACUUUGGAAAAGAUCAAGGCUUAGCGAGAAGAAAAGGGAAAAAGGAAAGAGUAACGCCUGAAUUUGGUGAGAGAAAAGAAGAAAAAAUUCUACCCCCAAAUUCAGGGCGUUACAAUUUUGGGGUGGGCUGAGUUUCUUAUCCCAUUUGUUUUACUUCAGUUGGGUCAUAAUUAGGUUUUACCACUUUUGCAUUACAGUUUCUACUAUGUGAAUUAUAUGUCUUUAUAUCUUGUAUGAGCUUCAUGUUUCCCCUCCUUGUUAUGCUAGUUUUCAAAGGAGGUGCUGCCGGAUUUUUUUUUCUUGCUUUAUAUUCUUUCUUUAUUACAUCUCUUGUGUUGAGUAAGUUUAUGUGGAUGAGGUUUAUGGUAUUAUCCAUUCUGUGCGACCAGUGGGGUGUUACAGUUGGUAUCAAAGGAAUAGACUGUAGGUCCUAGCAAGUGGAGUAGUAAUAAAUUGACACACUGCACAUGUAGGAUGGGUUUUCUGUCUUGCUAUUGAUAUGAUUAUGUUAUUGUCUGUGCUAGUUUUGACAUUAUCUAGAGAGAUGCUAUGCUUAUCUCAUUUACUUAUUGUUCUCAUCCCUGUGGCUGCAGCUAUGCCGCCUCGUAGAGCUCAGGGUAGUCCGCAAGCUCCUAGUGGGGACUCGAUGAGUCCGGCGGCAAUGUUAGCCGCGAUGCAGGCCAUGCAGCAGGAGUUGGCCCUUCUGAGGCAAGCCAUUCCUGUCGCCCCUGCGGGUGCUGCUCAGGGUGCUCGAGGUGGAGAAGUGCCCGGGGGCGCUGUCCUUGCGGGUGCUGUUCCAGGUGGCGGGGCCGAGGUGCCUCUUCCAGUCAGUGGUCUUUCUCUGAUGCAGUGGAUGGGCAUGAAGUUGGAUUCUUUUGAUGGAAGUGGUACUCCGGUCGAGGCGGCAGAUUGGUUGACUUAUGUGGAGGAUAUGAUGAAUGUCUUCGAGAUUGCAUAUGGAGAUCGGGUUCGCUUUGGCACUCAGCUGCUGAAGGGAGAGGCGCAAAUUUGGUGGAGAGGCGUGCAAGCAGCGCACUCCUCCUCACCAGGAGUCCUAUCAUGGGAUGUUUUCAUCAGGCAGUUCGAAAGGAGAUUCUACCCGGUCACCUUUCUGGAGAAAAUGAAGAUUGACUUGCAGUCCUAUAAGCAGGAGAAGAAGUCUGUCACAGAGGAUGAGGUGGGCUUCAACAAGAUGGUCCGCUUUGUCCCUCAUGUGGCUUAUAAUGAGAUGGAGAAGUCGAGCCAAUUCCGUCAGGGUCUGAAGCCUUCUAUCAGGCAUGCACUGGGGGCCUUUCCGUUGGUGGACUUCCGUACCACGGUGGAGCAGGCGCUGGGUGUGGAGAUUGAAAGGGAAUUAGACUCACACCUAGUCCCUAAUUGAUUUUGGUGGUUGAAUUGCCCAACACAAAUAAUUGGACUAACUAGUUUGCUCUAGUGUAUAAGUUAUACAGGUGUAAAAGGUUCACACACAGCCAAUAAAAAGAUCAAGUUUUGGAUUCAACAAAGGAGCAAAGAGGCAACCGAAGGCACCUCUGGUCUGGGGGCACCGGACUGUCCGGUGUACACCGGACAGUGUCCGGUGCACCAGAGGACUCCAACUCGAACUCGCCACCUUCGGGAAUUUCUCAGGCCGGCGCGCUAUAAUUCACCGGACUGUCCGGUGUACACCGGACAGUGUCCGGUGCUCCAAUGAAGCGCGGCCUCCGGAACUCGCCAGCCUCGGGAACGCACAGCAGCUGCUCCGCUAUAAUUCACCGGACAUGUCCGGUGUGCACCGGACUGUCCGGUGAACCAGCAGAGCAACGGCUAGUCGGCGCCAACGGCUACCUGCGGCACAUUUAAUGCGCGCUCUGCGCGCGCAGAAGGCAGGCGCGCCCAUACUGGCGCACCGGACAAGGAACAGUAGAUGUCCGGUGUGCACCGGACACCCAGGCGGGCCCAGAAGUCAGAAGCUCCAACGGUCAGAAUCCAACGGCAGUGAUGACGUGGCGGGGGCACCGGACAUGUCCGGUGUGCACCGGACUGUCCGGUGCGCCAUCGAACAGACAGCCUCCCAACGGCCACUUUUGGUGGUUGGGGCUAUAAAUACCCCAACCACCCCACCAUUCAUUGCAUCCAAGUUUUCCACUUCCCAACUACUACAAGAGCUCUAGCAUUCAAUUCUAGACACACCUAAGAGAUCAAAUCCUCUCCAAAUUCCACACAACGCCAUAGUGACUAGAGAGAGUGAUUUGCUUGUGUUCUUCCGAGCUCUUGCUCUUGGAUUGCUUUCUUCUUUCUUGAUUCUUUCAUUGCGAUCAAACUCACUUGUAAUUGAGGCAAGAGACACCAAACUUGUGGUGGUCCUUGUGGGAACUUUGUGUUCCAAGUGAUUGAGAAGAGAAAGCUCACUCGGUCCGUGGGAUCGUUUGAGAGAGGGAAGGGUUGAAAGAGACCCGGCCUUUGUGGCCUCCUCAACGGGGAGUAGGUUUGCAAGAACUGAACCUCGGUAAAACAAAUCCGCGUGUCACACUCUUCAUUUGAUUGCGAUUUGUUUUCCACCCUCUCUCGCUGACUCGUUUCUUUAUUACUAACGCUAACCCAGCUUGUAGUUGUGUUUAUAUUUGUAAAUUUCAGUUUCGCCCUAUUCACCCCCCUCUAGGCGACUAUCAAUUGGUAUCAGAGCCGGUGCUUCAUUAGAGCCUAACCGCUCGAAGUGAUGUCGGGAGAUCACGCCAAGAAGGAGAUGGAGACCGGCGAAAAGCCCACUACAAGUCAUGGGAGCACUUCAUCGGAAGAGUCCCGCACCAAGAGGAGGGAGAAGAAGAAGAGCUCCUCCAACAAAGGGAAGGAGAAGAAAUCUUCUUCUCACCACAAAGAGAAGGAAAAAUCUUCUUCCCACAAGCCGCAUCGGAGUGGGGACAAGCAAAAGAGGAUGAGGAAAGUGGUCUACUACGAGACCGACACUUCAUCAACAUCGACCUCCGGCUCCGAUGCGCCCUCUGUAACUUCUAAACGCCAAGAGCGUAAGAAGUUUAGUAAGAUCCCCUUACACUACUCUCGUACAUCUAGACAUACUCCAUUACUUUCCGUUCCAUUAGGCAAACCGCCAACUUUUGACGGUGAAGAUUAUGCUAGGUGGAGUGAUUUAAUGAAAUUUCAUCUAACCUCACUCCACAAAAGUAUAUGGAAUGUUGUUGAGUUUGGAGCACAGGUACCAUCCAUAGGGGAUAAGGAUUAUGAUGAGGAUGAGGUGGCCCAAAUCGAGCACUUCAACUCUCAAGCAACAACAAUACUCCUCACCUCUUUAAGUAAAUAGGAGUAUAACAAAGUUCAAGGGUUGAAGAGCGCCAAGGAGGUUUGGGAUGUGCUCAAAACCGCGCAUGAGGGAGAUGAGCUCACAAAGAUCACCAAGCGGGAAACGAUCGAGGGGGACCUCGGUCGGUUCCGGCUUCGCAAAGGGGAGGAGCCACAAAACAUGUACAACCGGCUCAAGACCCUGGUGAACCAAGUGUGCAACCUCGGGAGCAAAAAGUGGGAUGACCACGAGGUGGUUAAGGUUAUUCUAAGAUCUCUUAUUUUCCUUAACCCUACUCAAGUUCAAUUAAUCCGUGGCAACCCAAGAUAUACACUAAUGACCCCCGAGGAAGUAAUCGGGAAUUUUGUAAGUUUUGAGUGCAUGAUCGAAGGCUCAAGGAAGAUCAACGAGCUUGAUGAUCCCUCCACAUCCGAAGCUCAACCCGUCGCAUUCAAGGCGACGGAGGAAAAGAAGGAGGAGUCUACACCAAGUCGACAACCAAUCGACACCUCCAAGCUCGAUAAUGAGGAAAUGGCGCUCGUCAUCAAGAGCUUCCGCCAAAUCCUCAAACAAAGGAGAGGGAAAGAUUACAAGUCCCGCUCCAAGAAGGUUUGCUACAAGUGUGGUAAGCCCGGUCACUUUAUAGCUAAAUGUCCAUUAUCAAGUGAUAGUGACAGGGGCGACGACAAGAAGGGAAGAAGAAAGGAGAAGAAGAGGUACUACAAGAAGAAGGGCAGCGAAGCCCAUGUUUGUCGGGAGUGGGACUCCGACGAAAGCUCAAGUGACUCCUCCGACGACGAGGACGCCGCCAACAUCGCCGUCACCAAAGGGCUUCUCUUCCCCAACGUCGGCCACAAGUACCUCAUGGCAAAGGACGGCAAAAAGAAGGUUAAAUCUAAAUCCUCCACUAAAUAUGAAUCCUCUAGUGAUGAUAAUGCUAGUGAUGAGGAAGAUAAUUUGCGUACUCUUUUUGCCAACCUCAACAUGCAACAAAAAGAAAAACUUAAUGAAUUGAUUAGUGCCAUCCAUGAAAAGGAUGAUCUCUUGGACACCCAAGAGGACUUCCUUAUUAAAGAAAAUAAGAAGCAUGUUAAGGUUAAAAAUGCUUAUGCUCUAGAAGUAGAAAAAUGUGGAAAAUUGUCUAGUGAGCUAAGUACUUGCCAUGAGACUAUAGACAACCUUAGAAAUGAAAAUGCUAAUUUACUAGCUAAGGUUGAUUCUAUUUCUUGUAAUGUUUCAAUUCCCAAUCUUAGAAAUGAUAAUGAUGAUUUACUUGCUAAGAUUGAAGAAUUAAACAUAUCUCUUGCUAGCCUUAGGGAUAAAAAUAAAAAAUUACUUGCUAAGGCUAAAGAUUUUGAUGUUUGCAAUACUACUAUUUCCGACCUUAGAAGUAAAAAUGAAAUAUUGCAUGCUAAGGUUGUAGAACUAAAAUCUUGCAAACCCUCUACAUCUACCGUUGAGCACACUUCUAUUUGUACUAGAUGUAGAGAUGUUAACAUUGAUGCUAUACAUGAUCACAUGGCUUUAAUUAAACAACAAAAAGAUCAUAUAGCUAAAUUAGAUGCUAAAAUUGUCGAGCAUAACUUAGAAAAUGAAAAAUUUAAAUUUGCUAGAAGUAUGCUCUAUAAUGGGAGACGCCCUGGCAUCAAGGAUGGCAUUGGCUUCCAAAGGGGAGACAAUGUCAAACUUAGUGCCCCUCCUAAAAGAUUGUCUAAUUUUGUAAAGGGCAAGGCUCCCAUGCCUCAGGAUAAUGAGGGUUACAUUUUGUACCCUGCUGGUUAUCCCGAGAGCAAGAUUAGGAGAAUUCACUCUAGGAAGUCUCACUCUGGCCCAAAUCAUGCUUUUAUGUAUAAGGGUGAGACAUCUAGCUCUAGGCAACCAACCCGUGCUAAGUUGCCUAAGAAGAAAACUCCUAAUGCAUCAAAUGAACAUAGCGUUUCAUUUAAAACUUUUGAUGCAUCUUAUGUGUUGACUAACAAAUCCGGCAAAGUAGUUGCCAAAUAUGUUGGGGGCAAGCACAAGGGGUCAGAGACUUGUGUUUGGGUACCCAAAGUUCUUGUGUCUAAUGCCAAAGGACCCAAAACCAUUUGGGUACCUAAAGUCAAGAACUAAACUUGUUUUGUAGGUUUAUGCAUCCGGGGGCUCAAGUUGGAUCAUCGACAGCGGGUGCACAAACCACAUGACAGGGGAGAAGAAAAUGUUCUCCUCCUAUGAGAAAAACCAAGCUCCCCAACGAGCUAUCACAUUCGGGGAUGGAAACCAAGGUUUAGUCAAAGGUCUUGGUAAAAUAGCUAUAUCACCUGACCAUUCCAUUUCCAAUGUUUUUCUUGUUGAUUCAUUAGAUUACAAUUUGCUUUCUGUAUCUCAAUUAUGCAAAAUGGGCUACAACUGUCUAUUUACUGAUGUAGGUGUCACUGUCUUUAGAAGAAGUGAUGAUUCAAUAGCAUUUAAGGGAGUGUUAGAGGGUCAGCUAUACUUGGUAGAUUUUGAUAGAGCUAAACUCGACACUUGCUUAAUUGCUAAGACUAACAUGGGCUGGCUCUGGCAUCGCCGACUAGCACAUGUUGGAAUGAAGAAUCUUCACAAGCUUCUAAAGGGAGAACACAUUUUAGGACUAACAAAUGUUCAUUUUGAGAAAGACAGGGUUUGUAGCGCAUGCCAGGCAGGAAAGCAAGUUGGAGCCCAUCAUCCACACAAGAACAUCAUGACGACCGACAGGCCGCUUGAGCUACUCCACAUGGAUCUAUUCGGCCCGAUUGCUUACAUAAGCAUCGGCGGGAGUAAGUAUUGUCUUGUAAUAGUGGAUGAUUAUUCUCGCUUCACUUGGGUGUUCUUUUUGCAGGAAAAAUCUCAAACCCAAGAGACCUUAAAGGGAUUCUUGAGACGGGCUCAAAAUGAGUUCGGAUUAAGGAUCAAGAAAAUUAGAAGCGACAACGGGACGGAGUUCAAGAACUCUCAAAUUGAAGGCUUCCUUGAGGAGGAGGGCAUCAAGCAUGAGUUCUCUUCUCCCUACACGCCACAACAAAAUGGUGUAGUGGAGAGGAAGAAUCAAACUCUAUUGGACAUGGCAAGGACCAUGCUUGAUGAAUACAAGACUUCGGAUCGGUUUUGGGCCGAGGCGGUCAACACCGCUUGCUACGCCAUCAACCGGUUAUAUCUUCACCGAAUCCUCAAGAAGACAUCAUAUGAACUCCUAACCGGUAAAAAGCCCAAUAUUUCAUAUUUUAGAGUCUUUGGUAGCAAAUGCUUUAUUCUUGUUAAAAGAGGUAGAAAAUCUAAAUUUGCUCCUAAGACUGUAGAAGGCUUUUUACUAGGAUAUGAUUCAAACACAAGGGCAUAUAGAGUCUUUAACAAGUCCACUGGACAAGUUGAAGUUUCUUGUGACGUUGUGUUUGAUGAGACUAACGUCUCUCAAGUAGAGCAAGUUGAUCUUGAUGAGAUAGGUAUUGAAGAGGCCCCAUGCGUCGCGCUAAGGAACAUGUCCAUUGGGGAUGUGUGUCCUAAGGAAUCCAAAGAGCCUCCAAAUGCACAAGAUCAACCAUCCUCCUCCAUGCAAGCAUCUCCACCGACUCAAAAUGAGGAUGAAGCUCAAAUUGAUGAAGUAGAAGAUAAAGCAAAUGAGCCACCUCAAGAUGACGACAAUGAUCAAGGGGGAGAUGCAAAUGAUCAAGACAAGGAGGAUGAAGAACCAAGGCCGCCACACCCAAGAGUCCAUCAAGCAAUCCAACGAGAUCACCCCGUCGACACCAUCCUCGGCGACAUUCAUAAGGGGGUAACCACUAGAUCUCGUGUUGCACAUUUUUGUGAACAUUACUCUUUUGUUUCCUCUAUUGAGCCACACAGGGUAGAGAAAGCACUCCAAGAUUCGGAUUGGGUGGUGGCAAUGCAAGAGGAGCUCAACAACUUCACCAGGAAUGAGGUAUGGCAUUUAGUUCCACGUCCUAACCAAAAUGUUGUAGGAACCAAAUGGGUCUUCCGCAACAAGCAAGAUGAGCAUGGUGUGGUGACAAGGAACAAAGCUCGACUUGUGGCCAAGGGAUACUCCCAAGUCGAAGGUUUGGAUUUCGGUGAAACCUAUGCACCCGUAGCUAGGCUUGAGUCAAUUCGUAUAUUAUUGGCCUAUGCUACUUACCAUGGCUUUAAGCUUUAUCAAAUGGACGUGAAAAGUGCCUUCCUCAAUGGACCAAUCAAGGAAGAGGUCUAUGUUGAGCAACCUCCCGGCUUUGAAGAUAGUAAGUACCCUAACCAUGUCUAUAAGCUCUCUAAGGCGCUUUAUGGGCUCAAGCAAGCCCCAAGAGCAUGGUAUGAAUGCCUUAGAGAUUUCCUUAUUGCUAAUGGCUUCAAAGUCGGAAAGGCCGAUCCUACACUCUUUACCAAAACACUUGAAAAUGACUUGUUUGUAUGCCAAAUUUAUGUUGAUGAUAUUAUAUUUGGGUCUACUAACGAGUCUACAUGUAAAGAGUUUAGCAGGAUCAUGACACAAAAAUUCGAGAUGUCAAUGAUGGGGGAGUUGAAGUAUUUCUUAGGAUUCCAAGUAAAGCAACUCCAAGAGGGCACCUUCAUUAGCCAAACAAAGUACACUCAAGACAUUCUAAACAAGUUUGGGAUGAAGGAUGCCAAACCUAUCAAGACACCCAUGGGAACCAAUGGGCAUCUCGACCUCGACACGGGAGGUAAGUCCGUGGAUCAAAAGGUAUACCGGUCGAUGAUAGGUUCUUUGCUAUAUUUAUGUGCAUCUCGACCGGAUAUUAUGCUUUCCGUGUGCAUGUGUGCAAGAUUCCAAGCCGACCCUAAGGAAGCUCACCUUACGGCCGUGAAACGAAUCUUGAGAUACUUGGCUUACACUCCUAAGUUUGGGCUUUGGUAUCCUAGGGGAUCCACAUUUGAUCUAAUUGGAUAUUCGGAUGCCGAUUGGGCGGGGUGCAAAAUCAAUAGGAAGAGCACAUCGGGGACUUGCCAGUUCUUGGGAAGAUCCUUGGUGUCUUGGGCUUCAAAGAAGCAAAAUUCGGUCGCUCUUUCCACCGCCGAAGCCGAGUAUAUUGCCGCAGGUCAUUGUUGCGCGCAAUUGCUUUGGAUGAGGCAAACCCUGCGGGACUACGGUUACAAAUUAACCAAAGUCCCUUUGCUAUGUGAUAAUGAGAGUGCAAUCAAGAUGGCGGAUAAUCCCGUCGAACACAGCCGCACUAAACACAUAGCCAUUCGGUAUCACUUUCUUAGGGAUCACCAACAAAAGGGAGAUAUCGAGAUUUCUUACAUUAAUACUAAAGAUCAAUUAGCCGAUAUCUUUACCAAGCCUCUUGAUAAACAAUCUUUUAACAAACUUAGGCAUGAGCUCAAUAUUCUUGAUUCGCGCAACUUCUUUUGCUAGAUUGCACACAUAGCUCAUUUGUAUACCUUUGAUCAUGUCUCUUUCAUAUGCUAUAACUAAUGUGUUUUCAAGUCUAUUUCAAACCAAGUCAUAGGUGUAUUGAAAGGGAAUUUGGAGUCUUCGGCGGAGACAAAGGCUUCCACUACGUAACUCAUCCUUCGCCAUCACUCCAAGCAACUCUUCAUUCUUGGGGGAGAAAGCAUGAGCACCAAGCAAAAGGACUCCAUCUUUGGUAUAAUCUUCACUCAUUUGUUUUGACCAAAGAGGGAGAAUGUAACUCGAGGGCUCUAAUGAUUCCGUUUUUGGCGAUUCAUGCCAAAGGGGGAGAAAGUAAGAGGCCCAAAGCAAAAGGACCGCACCACCACCAAUUUCAAAAAUUUCGUGUUUCCAAGAAUAUUAUAAAUUGGUAUCCUAUUGUGUUCAAAAGGGGGAGAAAAUAGUAUUUCAAAAUGAUAUAUCAAAACCCUCUUGAACACUAAGAGGAGGAUCUCAUGUAGGGGGAGUUUUGUUUAGUCAAAGAAGAAGCAUUUGAAACAGGGGGAGAAAAUUUCAAAUCUUGAAAAUGCUUUGCAAAACCUUAUUCAUUUACCUUUGACUAUUUGCAAAAGAACUUUGAAAAGGAUUUACAAAAAAAGUUUGCAAAAACAAAACAUGUGGUGCAAGCGUGGUCCAAAAUGUUAAAUAAGAAAGAAACAAUCCAUGCAUAUCUUGUAAGUAGUUAUAUUGGCUCAAUUCCAAGCAAUCUUUGCACUUACAUUAUGCAAACUAGUUCAAUUAUGCACUUCUAUAUUUGCUUUGGUUUGUGUUGGCAUCAAUCACCAAAAAGGGGGAGAUUGAAAGGGAAUUAGACUCACACCUAGUCCCUAAUUGAUUUUGGUGGUUGAAUUGCCCAACACAAAUAAUUGGACUAACUAGUUUGCUCUAGUGUAUAAGUUAUACAGGUGUAAAAGGUUCACACACAGCCAAUAAAAAGAUCAAGUUUUGGAUUCAACAAAGGAGCAAAGAGGCAACCGAAGGCACCUCUGGUCUGGGGGCACCGGACUGUCCGGUGUACACCGGACAGUGUCCGGUGCACCAGAAGACUCCAACUCGAACUCGCCACCUUCGGGAAUUUCUCAGGCCGGCGCACUAUAAUUCACCGGACUGUCCGGUGUACACCGGACAGUGUCCGGUGCUCCAAUGAAGCGCGGCCUCCGGAACUCGCCAGCCUCGGGAACGCACAGCAGCUGCUCCGCUAUAAUUCACCGGACAUGUCCGGUGUGCACCGGACUGUCCGGUGAACCAGCAGAGCAACGGCUAGUCGGCGCCAACGGCUACCUGCGGCACAUUUAAUGCGCGCUCUGUGCGCGCAGAAGGCAGGCGCGCCCAUACUGGCGCACCAGACAAGGAACAAUAGAUGUCCGGUGUGCACCGGACACCCAGGCGGGCCCAGAAGUCAGAAGCUCCAACGGUCAGAAUCCAACGGCAGUGAUGACGUGGCGGGGGCACUGGACAUGUCUGGUGUGCACCGGACUGUCCGGUGCGCCAUCGAACAGACAGCCUCCCAACGGCCACUUUUGGUGGUUGGGGCUAUAAAUACCCCAACCACCCCACCAUUCAUUGCAUCCAAGUUUUCCACUUCCCAACUACUACAAGAGCUCUAGCAUUCAAUUCUAGACACACCUAAGAGAUCAAAUCCUCUCCAAAUUCCACACAACGCCAUAGUGACUAGAGAGAGUGAUUUGCUUGUGUUCUUUCGAGCUCUUGCUCUUGGAUUGCUUUCUUCUUUCUUGAUUCUUUCAUUGCGAUCAAACUCACUUGUAAUUGAGGCAAGAGACACCAAACUUGUGGUGGUCCUUGUGGGAACUUUGUGUUCCAAGUGAUUGAGAAGAGAAAGCUCACUCGGUCUGUGGGAUCGUUUGAGAGAGGGAAGGGUUGAAAGAGACCCGGCCUUUGUGGCUUCCUCAACGGGGAGUAGGUUUGCAAGAACCGAACCUCGGUAAAACAAAUCCGCGUGUCACACUCUUCAUUUGAUUGCGAUUUGUUUUCCACCCUCUCUCGCGGACUCGUUUCUUUAUUACUAACGCUAACCCAGCUUGUAGUUGUGUUUAUAUUUGUAAAUUUCAGUUUCGCCCUAUUCACCCCCCCCUCUAGGCGACUAUCAGAGAUGCAACACCAGUACACCAUGGAGUCGCAGAAGUCUUCGGGUGUUGAUCAGCCUCGUAGCCAGGACACGAGGAGGGGCAACACUGGAGGUCCAGCUCACAAGAGGGGCAAGUCUCAGCAUCAGCGCCACCAUCCUUACCGUGGCAAAUCUUCUGACUCAGGUACUUCGGGAGGAAGUACUCAGAGGUUUCGGGCCGUUCCUAAGCCCGGGCUGGGGCUGGUGUGUUUCCGCUGUGGAGAUGCGCAUCGCCGUGCAGAGUGCCAGUGGAGUGGCAGGUGUUCUAUCUGCAGUCAGGACCACAAAGAUGUGGUGUGUAGGAGGAAUCCCAAUGGGAAGCUCAGAUGGGAGCCAGUAACUUCCUCCUCUUCUCAGGGCACUAUCAAUAUGAUGUCGAGUGCUGAGCAGCAGUUUUCAGUUCCUCUUCCUCCACAACAGCUUUUUGUGCCUGGGACUUCUCAGUUCGUGCCGAUGCAAGGUUUUCCUCAGUAUCAGGCUGUGCCUACUCCUGCACCGUCUACACCUGUGCUGACUCAGUUUGGAGCUCCGCGCCAGCCUCCUCCGGUGGCUCAGUGGGGUUCUUCUGUUAAUUUCACUCCGGGAGCUUCCUCUUCUGCGGGUAUUUCUGGAGCUUAUGUGCUACCCGCUACGGAUGGCAGGGAGCAAGGAGACGUGGUGACAGGUACGAUUUCAGUUGAUUCAUUUGCAGCCCAUGCUCUUUUUGACUCUGGCGCUAGCUAUUCGUUUGUUUCGGAGGAUUUUGUGUCACGGGUUGGUCUUUCGGUGCAGAGGUUGGGUCACCCAAUUUUGGUCAAUUCCGCUAAUGGCUCCAUUAGUAGCUGUUCAGUUUGUCAGGGGUGUUCCGUCAUUCUUGCUGAUGAGGUUUUUUCGGCCAAUCUGGUGGUGAUUUCCUUGGGGGCAUUCGAUGUUAUCUUGGGUAUGGAUUGGUUAUCCCAGUAUCGCGCGGUUAUAUCCUGCUUCUGGAAGACAGUGUUAUUGCAGGCGCCAUCGGGUAAGGAGGUGGUAUUCUUGGGAAGUUCCCCGAAGUUCACAUUAUCCUUGUUGGCGCAAUUGCUUCUUGAUCGCUGGUCAAGGAAGUCGGGGAUCUUUUUCUCUAUGGUGGUGGAGGGUGAGGCUGCCUUGUGGGUGCAGGACAUCCGGGUGGUGUGUGACUUUGCUGACGUGUUUCCGGCAGAGCUUCCAGGCAUUCAUCCGGAGUGCGAUGCAGCUUUUGAGAUUAAGCUGAUCCCAGGUACGCAGCCUAUUCAUAAGGCCCUGUAUCGAAUGGCUCCAAAGGAGCAGAUUGAAUUAAAGCGGCAAUUGGAUGAUCUAUUGGCUAAGGGCUUCAUUAGGCCUAGCAGGUCUCCAUGGGCUUCCCCAGUAUUGUUUGUUGAGAAGAAGGAUAAAAGCAAGCGGUUGUGUGUGGAUUAUCGCGCUUUGAAUCAAGUGACAAUCAAGAAUAAAUAUCCGCUUCCCCGAAUUGAGGUCCUCUUUGAACAGUUGAGGGGUGCCCAGGUGUUCUCCAAAAUUGAUUUGAACUCAGGUUAUCAUCAAUUGAGGAUUCGUGAGGAGGAUAUUGAGAAGACUGCCUUCUGCACCAGGUAUGGGCAUUAUGAGUUCAUAGUCAUGUCUUUUGGCUUAACUAAUGCCCCUGCUGCCUUUAUGGAAGCAAUGAAUAGGAUGCUGCAUGAAUUCCUGGACGAUUUUGUGGUCGUAUUCCUGGAUGAUAUUUUGAUUUAUUCAAAGACCGAGGCCGAGCAUGAACAGCAUCUCCGUCUCGUUCUGGGUGCCCUAAGGAAGAAUCAAUUCUAUGGCAAGUUGAAGAAGUGUGCCUUUUGGCUUUCCGAAGUGGCUUUCCUGGGGCACGUGAUUAAUCAGCAGGGUAUUGCGGUUGAUCCCAAGAAUGUUGCGGCUGUGGUGGAGUGGAGGAGACCUUCUAGUGUCUCUGAAAUCCGAAGUUUCUUGGGGCUUGCUGGGUAUUAUCGGCGCUUCGUACCAAAUUUUUCCAGCAUUGCUAAGCCUUUGACUAGGCUCUUGGAGAAGGGUGUUCCCUUCGUCUGGUCCGGCGAAUGUGAGGUCAGUUAUCAGUCAUUGAAGAGCAAGUUGGUGGACGCCCCUAUCCUAGCUUUGCCUGAGAGCGGUAAGCGUUUCACAGUUUAUACAGAUGCUUCGCGUAUCGGUCUUGGCUGUGUGCUGAUGCAGGAAGGCAGAGUGAUUGCUUAUGGCUCAAGGCAGUUGAGGAAGCAUGAGGGGAAUUAUCCAACUCAUGAUCUGGAAUUGGCUGUGGUGGUUUUUGCUCUAAAGUCGUGGAGGCAUUACCUUUAUGGCGAGGCUUGUGACAUUUUCACCGAUCACAAAACUCUCAAGUAUAUUUUUACUCGGAAGGAGCUGAAUUUGAGGCAACGUCGGUGGCUAGAAUUGAUUAAAGACUAUGAUUUGUCCAUUCAUUAUCACCCGGGGAAGGCUAAUGUAGUGGCGGAUGCCCUUAGCAGGUCCGGGGUUCCAAAGGUGGCCUUGCCGUUGGUCGCUGAUCUGGACCGUUUGGGGAUCGCUUUGUGUUAUGUCGGCACCGCUAGCGAGGAGACUCAGAUGCUUAUUCAAUCCUCUCUUAUGGAGAGAGUGCGUGCGGCUCAGCUGCAGGAUCGUCUUUUGCAGGAAGCUCGAAAGAGGGUUGGUGAUGUUAAACCGCGGGAGUUCACCAUUGAUGAGAAUUAUUUGGUUCGUUUCAGGGGCCGUCUUUGUGUGCCUCAGAAAUCAGAGGUGAAGCUGGUUAUCCUGCGAGAAGCUCAUAAAACGCCUUACACCGUCCAUCCUGGCGAAACCAAAAUGUACCGAGAUUUGAAGCAAAACUUCUGGUGGAAGCGGAUGAAGGUUGACAUUUCUAAGUAUGUGGCCGCCUGUGAAGUAUUUCAGCGCGUGAAGGCCGAACAUAAGCGGCCUGCAGGUUUGCUGAAGCCAUUGGAAAUUCCAGAGUGGAAAUGGGAGCAUAUCACCAUGGAUUUUGUGGUGGGUCUACCUCGUUCCCCUCGUGGCAGGGAUGCUAUUUGGGUGGUAGUGGAUCGCUUGACUAAGUCUGCGCAUUUUAUUCCCAUGAAGACCACAAAUUCAGCUUCAGAUUUGGUUCCCUUGUAUAUGAAGGAAGUUGUCAGGCUUCACGGGGUACCUAAGUCUAUUGUUUCUGAUCGAGACUCCAAAUUUGUAUCCAAAUUCUGGGAGAGUCUCCAUAAUGCAUUGGGCACCAAGCUUUCGCUUAGUGUCGCUUUUCACCCUCAGACGGAUGGUCAGUCAGAGCGAACAAUCCAAACCUUGGAGGAUAUGUUGCGUGCUUGUGUUCUGUCAUGGAAGGGUAGCUGGGAGGAUCAUCUUGCUCUGGCAGAGUUUGCGUAUAACAACAGCUACCAAGCUAGCAUCAAGAUGGCACCAUUUGAGGCUUUGUAUGGCAGGCGGUGUAUCUCUCCUCUGUGAUGGGAGACUUUGGGAGAGAGAUCCCUGGUUGGUCCUGAUUGGGUUCAGCAAACUUCUGAAAAGGUUCGGGAAAUUCGUCAGAAUGUUUUGGCAGCUCAGAGUCAUCAGAAGAGUUAUGCUGAUGUGAGGAGGCGGGAUCUGGAAUUUGCUGUGGGUGACCAAGUCCUUCUCAGGGUAUCACCCACUAAGGGAGUUGUUCGGUUCGGUGUCUCUAGGAAGCUCAGCCCGAGAUACAUUGGACCGUUCACUAUCUUGGCCCGAGUGGGCAGCCUGGCUUAUCGUUUGCUGCUGCCGGAUUCCAUGGCAGGGGUACACUCGGUUUUUCAUGUCUCUAUGUUGAGGAAGUUCUUGCGGGAUCCGGACCAUCAGAUUGAGAUGGAACCAAUUGCGGUACAGCAGGAUCUGACUCUGGAGUGUCAUCCGGUGCGUAUAUUGGAAUUCUCGGAGCGUGUGUUGAGGAAGAGAUCAAUUAAGUAUGUCAAGGUCUUAUGGACUAAUCAGUCUGAGCGCGAGGCUACGUGGGAACUUGAGGAGCUGAUGCGGCAGAAGUACCCGAAACUUUUCGUUGUGGGUAAGUGUUGUUGAUUCACUAAUCUUUUCUUUUGUCAUUCCGAUAGAAGCGUCAGAAUUCGAGGUCGAAUUCUUUUUAAGAGGGGUAGAGUGUGAUACCCGGUUUGCAAAGAAGAGAAGUUGGGGGUUGUUCUUUUUGUUUUUUUCCUCAUCCGGUUGUUGUUUUGGGGAUUUGGAAUUUUGUGGAAAACAUUCACAACUAGGGCAGUAGAAUUUAUUUGGUUUGACGCUAGCGUUGUGGUCGGGAGCUGUCGCGUGGGUUAGUUGGGCCGCAAUAGGUGUUUCGGCCCAUUAACCCUCCCAAACCCUAGCCGCCUCCCUCCUAACCCCCUCCCCCCAUGUGCAGCCCCCCCCCCACUUCUCCUCCUCCCCUUGGCCGGCGCCCCCCCUGCCCAUCUCCUCCUCUCUCAAUUUUUGCAGCCACCAAACCCUAGCCGCCGCCCCCCCCCCCCCCCCCCUCAAUCCCCUCCUCCCAAGGUGCCAAUCCUUGCCGCUCGGAUCGUCGUCUCGUGGUGCGAUUCUCCAACCGUUUUGGUGGAGGGAAGAAGGGAGGAAGGAAAGGGGGAGAACCCAAGGUGAUUUUUGUGUUCAUCCCUUGUUCAUUUGCGCUGCGAUUCAAUUGAUUAGAUGUUGCGUUUGCGAUUAGAUAGAGGGGGGCUGUCCAGAAUUUUACGUGGUGGAUGAACAGCGAAAGUUCUAGCAGUUUUUAGGGUUUUUUCGUGAAGAAUUAAUGGGGAUCAAUUUGGGGAUCUUGUAGAACUUUGUUUUACCUUUCCAACGAGUAUUUAUGCGCUCAAUUUGGGGUUAUAAAUUAAAAGUUAUCAUCGUUUGAAUCCGGGUGUGUGGCUGUCCAAAAAAACAGAUUUUUCAGAGUGAUGAACAGCAGCAGUAUUAGCAGUUUCUGGGGAUUUUUCGGGAGUAAUUAGUGUUAAUCAGUAUGAGAAUCAUGUAGGGCUUUUUCUUAUCUUUCCAACAAGUACUUAUGCGCUCAAAUCGGAAUUAUAUUUUAAAAGUUAUCGCUGUUUGAAUCCGAGUAUGUCGCUGCCCAAAUCAGAAAAAAAAAAACAGAUUGCAGGGUUUAUUUUGUGGACCGUUUAGAGGUAAUUAGAUGUUAGAAUUUAAUCAUGAGUUGUAUACAAAACUUGUGGGGAAUUUUAUGUAGUUGUCUCUGAAGUUUUUGUUUGACACCACUGCUGUCCUAAUUUUUAAGUUAUGGAAUUGUUAAGCAGCGCCGCUGCAGUUUGGUUAGUGAGGGGAGAAUUGUUACCGCGGCGGGGUUUGAGAUUGUGCGUAGGUGCGGUGUUGUCUUUGAGUUUUUUUAUAUGAAUUUGGUGCACUAAGUUGGGUGUCAAAAACAGGUGGUGGACUUCCGGAUCGUUCUUAGGGAUUUUGCCCAAACUUCGGUGAAGGCAAGUAAAACUGUGAUGGUUAUUCCGUCGGUCAGAUGAGGAGUCUUAUACUUGUUUAUGUUGUGCUAUCAUGUUCAAAUUCAUAUUUUCUUUUGAGUACCAUCAUUUGAAAAUGUUCAUGAUUCAUGGACUUCAUAUGUUGAGUUUGAGGUUUGAUUAUGUUACUCAAGUGGUUAUUAUGUGGAAUGGUUGGAAGUAAAUGCCUAGCACAUUUUUAUUUGGGAAGAACUUAUGAUGUUGUCAUGCAUAAUGCACUCAUCAUCCAUUGCAUUGAAGUUUCGUCGCGAUCUUAUGGUCCGACCGUACCGGUACAUUGAGCAUCAUAUGUUGCCCGAGAAGGGGUAUGGUGCAGCUUCAUAUCCUUAGAGAUAUGGAGGCAGAAGUCAUUAUUGCAUUUGUAGCCAUGUGCAUUCAUGGGAGAGGUGUUGAAUCUAUUAUGUGGAUGUGGAUAAUUUGGACUUGUGCAUGGUGAUUCUACUUGGCGUUGAGUUUUUAGUUACUUGUAUACUUGCUGCAAUUUACUGUUCAAAAGAAAAGAAAGAAGUCCUGAAACACGUGGUUGUGUAAGCACAGUUGAUUUACAAUGGCCUACUUGUUGUUGUUAUGUUUACUUGCUGAGAUGUGUUAUCUCACAUCUUGCAUUGUUUGAUGCAGGCACCUAAUUUCUGCUUUGGGAAAUAAAGGGGAUGUAGCAGCACGGCCACUACACCUUUAAUAAAGGAACCACCAUUUAAUAAUGUUGAUAAUCAGAGUUGGACAAGUCUAGUGAAUUGCUUUGUUCUUGGUUGAGCGUUUAUUUUGGGGUGGGCUGAGUUUCUUAUCCCAUUUGUUUUACUUCAGUUGGGUCAUAAUUAGGUUUUACCACUUUUGCAUUACAGUUUCUACUAUGUGAAUUAUAUGUCUUUAUAUCUUGUAUGAGCUUCAUGUUUCCCCUCCUUGUUAUGCUAGUUUUCAAAGGAGGUGCUGCCGGAUUUUUUUUCUUGCUUUAUAUUCUUUCUUUAUUACAUCUCUUGUGUUGAGUAAGUUUAUGUGGAUGAGGUUUAUGGUAUUAUCCAUUCUGUGCGACCAGUGGGGUGUUACAGAAAUUGUACAAGUAAUGCAUGCAAAUGGUGAAGACAGAAGUUUUAUCUCAUGAGUAGAAAGCUCAUGUUAUGUAGCACGAAUGAACACCUUAGCUUCGACCUUCAAAGAACGACCAACGCACGUUAAGGAUGGCCCUACAUCUAGAAUGAGCAUGUACUAUCAUAUAUUUCAAUUAGUCAUAAAAAAUAUGUAUUCUAUUAAAAUGUAGCCACACAUGAUAAAGUUAGGAUUGCGUAGGAGGUACAUGGACAACACAACAUUCAUGGAUUCUUUUGUAAAAAAUGAAGGCGUAUCAAAUAUUUCAUUAGGCACUUAUUAUAUAACUUGUCAAUCCAUUUCUUAACUAUUCUCUUUUAAACAACAACGAAGUCUCACUCUAGCUAUAUAUGGAGAUGGAGAAGAUGGAGAAGGAGGAUGACGCCAUUAUUGUUGGCGCCAGCAUCACUGUCGUAAUAGGGUAGUGGUAGCAAAUAGAUAUCACGGUCCAAUGCAUGCAUGUGUAAUGCAUUGCUUGGGAUCCAACCCAAUCUAGUAUAGCUAGCAUAGGCCGACUUAAAGUAUUGUCAGCACUAAAGUUAAUUAUUUGGCGGUGUAGGCGGUGUUGGCCUUCCAGUUGGCAGGGAUGACAUCGUCGUAGACGGUCUUGGUGCCUCCCUCGGUAGUGAGGCGGACGGUGAGGGGUCCCUUAAGCGGUUUGUCGCUGUCCUUCCUCCAGAUGGCGCCCCAGGAGUGCUUGAGGGGCUCGUACGUGUCGGAGCCCUUUUCCUUGACGUCCACCGCCACAAUGUCACCGUCGCCGUCGACGUAGUUGACUAGCAACGCCAGGUAGUUGGGGCCGCACCCCUUUUCAAGGUGGAAGGUGACCUUGGAGCCGUACUUGCACUUGACCCUUCGGAACUGCAUGUCGAUGAUGCCCGCCUUGCGCAGCUUCUCCUCCUCGCCAUUCUUGGCCAUGGCACCGAACGCCGUGCCUGCCAAAUCGAAGUGGUACGCCGCGAUAGGCUCAUAGUUCAUGUCCGUGAUGUGCACCACCACGGGCUUGCCGGAGCACUCCACAGGCUUAUCGCACUUGAUCUCAAAGCAGGACCCACAACCCAGACCAUCCUUGAAGAUGGGGAUGUUGCCGCACGCGCCCAUGCUAUUGAAGGGGGGCUUGUUCACGUCCUUGUACCCGCAGCCGCCGCCGUUGUCAUCGGGACCGGCACCCGUCGGCUUGCCAUACCAUGUCGCUUUAGCGUCCAGCCAGUCCUUGCCAUAGGUGGCUGUGAUGUUCUUGCCAGGGGGGACCUUGGGAGGACCGCACCAGGCGCCGCUCACCAAGAACGCCAACGCCAUAGCCAUCGCCACCUGUGCCUGCAUCGACGACCACAUGGUGCUUACAUUCACAGCCAUGUUUUGUCUUGGAUCAGUGAAUGGUACUAUGCUACGAUGAAUGAGCGGGUAGGCCUGAAUUUAUGGUUGUGUGUGCCAACAGUCG
rnacentral:lncRNA from 1 species